UAAAAAAACGUUUGUCCUUAAAUGCAGGUAUUACAAAAUCCAAACUGGAAUAUAAUAAGACAGAGAGGGAGGUAAAGAGAUGAUCCUGGCUAAUAGGUUACUUCAUCUAUCAUGGUAUCAAUAUCCGGAGUGACCGACAGAAAGACCAGCUCCACUGGAUCCCGCAGCAGGAGACUUUGCUAAAAAAGCUUGUACAAUAACAUUUAUCAUGAUUUCUUCAGUCUCGGCUCUGUCGUCCGCUGUAGCUUUCUCAAAUAUCUCUUCGUCAGUUUCUGCUUUCGAUUCAGGAUCAACUAUAUGCUUCAUUCCAUUUUCAUGUCCUGCCGCAGUCUGAGGCAUCUCGGGCGCAUCUGGAAUUUUCACUGUUCCAAAGAUCAUGGAUAUAUCAAUAGACUUUAGGUAGUCCACAUCUUUCUUCAGCUCUGCAAUGGUGGCCUUUACGGCUGUUACUUCCUCUGUAGCUCCUUGAUCGUGCUCACACACUAACAUCCUGACCUCUAGAGCAUCAAUAGUAGUGCUCAGUGGUCUCACGGCAAUGUCGAGGGCGGCCUGAAUCAUGCCUGGGAUAGAGCUUUCCAUGUUGACCGUCCGACAAUUAGCAGUUUGGGAAAGCUGUCUCAUUCGUAUCAAGGAUGCUUGAGUGAUUGGUUCACAAGGGGUAACAACAGCUGAAGGUCCAUGGGCAAGAGGAGGCAAAGAUGCAUGUUGACACCCAAUUUUGACCGACAUCUAACCCUUUUUGGAAAUGCUAUUCGAUUAAAUACGUAUUUUUAAAACACACUUCAAGUUUAAAAUUUUAAUCAAUUUUGGCUAAAUAUCUUAUAUUUAGUAUGCAUGAUUUUUAAAAUUAUUGUAUUUAUUAUCAAAUUAUUUUAUUAAAUUAUAUUUAUCGAUAGUUAAAAUCGAAAUAAUUAUUUUACUUCAAUAUUUUAAAAUAUUAAAUGUGUGAAAAUUUUAAUAUGUAGUAUUUUAUUAAUCGGAUAGCAUUUCCCUAUUCUUCCCUUAAAUCAUUUAAAUUUUAGCCUAUUCUAUUCUAAUUUAUUUCAAUUCUAGCCAAUCCAAUUCAAAUUGUAUUUCAAUUAUAGCCAUCCUUUCAUUGCAAUUCUAGCCCAAUUUUACUGUAAUUUCAAGACCCCAUCCUUUAAUCUCAGCCUUCCGUGCCCUAAAUCUAAUCCCAACCAUCUAUCUGAAUUAAUCCAAAGGUUCAGAUUCGAUCAAACACCACCUUCCUAUUUUAUAUCAAAAGAACCAAAACCCUAAAAAAAGUUUUCAUUAUCUUCCUCCCAUCUCUCUCUAGCGCCACUUUUUCUCCCUUCUUCUCUCCAGAUCGCCGCCUCCAGCGAGACAAGCAGCAACCGGUGAGAACUGAGCAAUGUUGGCGCCGCCUCCUCCAUCUCUCUCUCUCAUUUCCCUCUUUUCUCUGAUCUUCUCUUGCAGCAGCAGCGAUCGGAGGCUGCUCCAAUCGGCAACUCUCUCUCUCCCCUCGUCUCUUCUCUUUCUCCCCUUCUUUUUCUCUGUCUCCUUUUUCUCCUCAUUUGACCAGCAGCUAGCGAGAACCACCAGCGACCAAUAGCGAGUAGCUCCAACAAACUACAGCUCCAGCCAGCAACCGCGAGGGAGAACAACGAGCCACCAACAGACAACAACAGCCAGCGAAAGCCAGCUCCAACUCCGGCAAAUGCUGCUCCGGCCAAUGAACUAGCGAUCUCCGGCGAAGUUUUGAAAGUUUCAAGCGGGUCAAAAGACGGAUCUGUUACAGAUCCAUCCGGGUACAUUUCUUUUUAAAUUAUUACCUCAUCUUUUGGCAACUUUGUUCUUAUUUUCAGUUACAAGUUGGCUAUUCAUGCUCUGUAUAUGUGAAAACCAUUUCAAUCUCAAAUUUAAUUACUAUCUGCUAUUUUAUGAUCUUAUUCAUGUUUUGCAAAUUUUCUGAUUUUGUGUGUUGCUAAAAUAUUAUUCAUGUUGACUUAGAAUGUCAAUAUACCUCUAUGUUACCUACUUCUCUAUAGUUAUUAGUACAUUAUGGAUUUUAAAUAUUGUUGGAACUGUUGGUUCUUGAUUUUUAGUUGAUAAGUUGGAGUGAUAAUUGAUGCCCUUAAUUGGUUGUUUCUUUAGCUAAAAUUUGGUUCAGCUUCAAAAUGUUAAAAUAGGGAUUGCAUGAUUUGUGACUUGUGUAUUUAGAAUCUGUUUAAAUUGUUAUUUGUUUGUAUACGGUAAAAAAAUAUAUGAGAAAAUGUAUAUUUGGAACUUGAUUUGAGUUGUGAUAUUGUCCUUCCUAAAAUAAUACUAUUCCUUUUGGUGGAUUAUGUGCAAUAUUGAUUGGCGGUGUUAAUUGAUAUUAUGUACCUUAUUUAUGUGUAAGCAGAUUUCUUACUUGUUUAUAUUUAGUAAAAAUAAAUUAAAAAUUGAUUUGGCUCUCCUUUAAAAUAAGGAAAAUGUGUUAAUUGAUUCCUUUCUAUUUUCAUUUCCCUUAAUUACUGGCCCUUCCCUCAUUAUAAAUAAUCCCCUUUCAGUCUUUGGAAUCACUGACCUACACAUCCUGACUUUGAUCAUACUCGAAUAAAAAAAAUUAUUGCUCUCUAUUCUUAAAAGAAUUAAGAUUUUGGUAAACAUUCUAAAGUGCUGCUUUACUCGAUUUUUGCUGUGUUCGGAUCUAGUAUCGAAUCAAAUUGGGUCUUCAUUGCUGAUAAAUUUUCUGCAUAAUUGGUUAGCCUUUCUUCAUUAGUUUAAAUUUCGUUUUGCAUUAUUUCAUUAUGAAUGUUGUGUUGUGUUUGAAUAAAACAAAGGAAGCACUCAGGUUUGUUUCCUAUCCCUCAUUCCUUAAUGUGCUUUGAUAUGACUAUGUGUUUUCUUUGAAUAACUUUAUGAUUCUACCCAUAUAAUUGACCUUCUUAUAUAAUAUUUGCUUUUGUUAUAUUUAUAUGUAUUUGUAGUAUUCCUUUCUUGUGGUUUAGCAGGGUUGAACUAGAAGUUCAAGGUAUGAAGAGUCGUCAUGGAAGGGAAAAUAAUAGACGAUGAAUUUAUUUAAUUCGUGUUUUGUAUAUUAUCUAAUUUCUGUUAUUCGGUUUGUAAUAUUUGUAUAACUCUAACUCUAGUAUAUAUGUGAAAUAUUUGGGGAUCGUCUAAAGGGGAGGGGAUUUAUGUGCUACUUGUUUAUUUUAUCAUAACUUAUUUGUGUUAGAAAGCAUGCCUAUAGUUUCGUGAUUUGUUCGGUAGUUCAUAUUUAGAAACUUCACUUUAGAUCUAAUUAAAAAAUAAAAUUGAAUUGUUAUUGCCAUUAAUCACCUAUUAAAUCUUGUUUAACUAUAUUUUAAAGUUGAUCAUGUGCUUAGAUAUUUUAAUUGUUCAUCAUAGUACACCUAUUUGAUUUGCACGACUAUUUCUUAAUUUGGUCAUUAAAAUAACUUUGGUUGUUCCUUGUUUUAUUAAUUAAAUCAAUUUCUUUUUAUAGUAAUUUAAGAGUAAAAUAUUAAUUGAUAUUCAACAAUCUUGUAUUAGUCAAUCUGUUAGAUAUUAGGCUCAUAUAAGAUUUAGUCAAAAUUGAUUAGACUUGAUCAAUCAGUCUUUAAUAGCUUGGUGUAUUAAUUAAUUAAUUGGUUUUAAUAACCUCGGCAUGUUAAUCAAUUAACUUAAAUAAUCCUUUUGUAAUUGUAAAUUUAUAAUCAACUAAUUUUUUAUCUGAUAAGGGCUGUUGUAUUAAUGGCAAUUCAGUAUAUGAUUAAUUUGCAGAAUGAUUAAUUGAUUAGAUUCUAAUAAACUCGAGUAAAUCAAUAAUCAGGCUAGUUUAUAGGAGCUUAUUCACUUUAAUGUGUUAAACAGUAUGGAGAUUUUAAAACUGGAAAUCUAAACUGCAUUUACUACUGCCCGUUUGACCAGCAUGUUUAAUAAUUAAUCUCUUCUACUACUUAAAAAUCAGUUAAUGAUAUUCCUUUGCUGCGUGCCUCUUCUUAAAAUCUGCUACCCUAGAUAUCUGUUGCCCCGAGUAAUUCUUGUCUAAUAAUAAUUAACUUCUGCAUUAAUAAACCGCUUUGCCACUUAAAAUAAUUUUUGUAUUAAUAAUAAAAUCUGUUAAUGCUAUGAAACUUGUUUUCAUUCUGUGAUGACCUUUCUACUAUAUUUUAAAACCAAGUAAUAAAAUCUACAUUUUUGUAAUAACUUUCUACCACCCUUAAUAUUGUAAUCGUGCUGUUGUAUUGCCUGCUACAAUACUGUUAUUCUUGUAUGGACACACUGAGCAUGAAAUCCUUUCACAUUACUUGUGUUUGCUAGUAUGUUAAUAACCUAAUCUAGAGGCCAACAUGAGAUUUACGUGAUAAGUGUUGCCCUAUUUGUUUUGCUUGGUGUCUAGGUGGGCCUACUAGGAACUUUUAUUGUAUUUUUAGUCUAAAACCCCCUAAUAGUAGUCCAAUUCCUCUUGGACCUUAAGCAGGGACGCUAGGCACCUUUUAGAGACGAAAAACAUGCAGAAGGUGGGGUAGGGGUAGUUUAGGCCCUACGGAGAUGAUGACAUCGACUCAGGCUUAAAGCGACAAACCUUGGUUUUGUCUGUCCCUACACAGAAGCCUUUCGAAAAAAUAAAGAAAAGUCGAGUGUUGAUCUGUAAAGUCCUACCGAGUCUCCCUCUCCUUUUGUCCCUUUAUUUAUUUAUAACUAUAAUUGUUUGGGGUAGCUUAAAUAAAAUAUAAAAAUUGUCUGUCUAUCUGUUUGUGUAAUUUCUGUCUCAUCGCUUAUCUCUUUAUUAAUUGUUUAAUAUUUAUUUGUUACUAUGUUAUCACUUAGUCUUGCAUUCUUAACUAAUUAAUUAAAAUAACUAAAGUGCCCUUAAUUGUUAAAUAUUAUGUUAUCACUUAGUCUUGCAUGCUUAACUAAUUAAUUAAAAUAACUAAAGUGCCCUCAAUUGUUAAAUAUUAUGUUAUCACUUAGUUUUGCAUGUUCAAUUAAUUAAAUGAAUUAAUCUUAAUUGUUAAAUAUUAUGUUAUCACUUAGUAAGCAUGUUUAAGUUAAAUAACUUAAAUAAAUGACGUGACCAUACUUGCUACUUGUAACCCUACAUAAAUUGCACGAGAUACGGUCGGGACCCACAUUUGUGGACCUCGAAGGAUGUCUAACACCUUCCCCUCGAGGUAAUUUAAACCCUUACCCGAUCUCUGGUUCAUUGACCUUUAGUUAGAUUUAGCUAGGUUAGAUAGGUGCCCUAACGCUCCUUAAUUCGUUAAGUGGCGACUCUCCAAUCACCCAAAGCCCAAAAGAGUUGUUAGGUCGUGCACCCAAAACUCGUUUUGCGAAAAACGGGGUGCGACAAUGCCUCUGCAGGUAUAGAUCUAGUGGCCACAACUUCCUUCUGUUUCUUUUCUGCCUGGUCUUUAAGAUAUUCAGCUUCGAUCUUUCGGAUACUGGUGGAAAUAGUGGCAGCCAAUUCCACAUCUUUCGUUGCAUCUCCAGGCACCUAAGCCCUUUUGCAUAAUUCAUUGAUUAAUACCGGGAAAGUAAGAGAUGUCUGGCCCUGCUUUGCACGCGUAUGGAUUUCAGAGGAAAUGAUCUUCCCAAGAUUUAUCCUGGUUUUCUCCAUGAUGCAUUCAAGACAAGCUGCCUUAGCAUGACGAAGGAUUGAUUUAUUCUGUGAUGGCAUAACUGUGUUGCUGAUGAAUCUGAACUAGUAUCGUGCAACUAUGUUCAGAUUUUUCUUCUCAAUUGGAACUCCUUCUGCUAACCAUGUUGGAGCAUUAUCAUCUGAGACUAGUGGAGCUAACCACUUUUUCAUUGCAUCCAGCUUUUGUGUCCUGAUCAAGUGCUGGCAGUGGUCAUUAGUCUUAUCUGUCAUUCCCAAAGCUCUGUUGAUAGUCUUACUGUCACAGGAUACCUUCUUUCCUCGGACAACCACGUAGUCAACUGCUUUAAAAUAUGAGACUAGCCUUUUUCGUUGAGGUACUAAUGCACUGUAUGCGUCGUAGAACUCUCUAACCCAGCUUGGUAUGUAAGAGCCGCGAUGUCUUGUGAAGAUUUGGAAUUUGUGGUAUUUUAAGCACUCCAUCACUUCUGGAUACCUAUCAAUAACCUCAUCUAUGGAAAGUCGUUUCUCCCCAAUGAUCGUUCUCAGAUCAUCAGCCUUUGAUUUAUUCAUUGAUCCAUGUUUGGGGCUUUGUACUGGAUGUGCCAUCACUAAUGCUUGCCCUGAAGUUGAAGGAGUUAGAGUGGUGGGUUGGUUAUCUCUGAUCCGAUAUGGAUCAGAGAUCAUUUUGGAUCGUAACUUAGCCCUCCUUGCCUCUAUUUGGUAAUCCUCGUCAGACUCUACACUCUCACUGUUAUAUGUGGGUGGCUCGAUGGCGUAGAAGCAUGUGCUGUCAGAGCUUGCGUCGGAUAAUUCGAGGGCUUUACCCUUCCCCUUGCUUUUUGAAAUUAUGGUAGCCUUGCCCUUGGGUGGAGGUGUAUUUUCUCUAAUCACGAUUCCUUUCUCUCUUUCUCUAGUCGGUUGUUUGGCCAUAUUUGCAAAACGUUAGAGAGAAUAGUGAGUGAUUACACUGUAACACAUAAUUUCAGACAGACUCACUGAUCUAAUCAGCGAAUCGCCAAACCUCUUUGGCGAUCAUAAAUAUGUCCGCCAAAAGUUAUAGAACCCACAACACUUAAGAUAAGAAUUUAAAGGCGCUUUAGGUGUAGGGGGUGAACCGCUGAGUGAUUCGGCGAGCUCAACUCAGCUCGCCGACUGACUUAACGUGCCUGAGAUUUAACUUACUUUUUCAAAAUCGAUCGUACAAACCUCAAAAGCAAAAUUAAACCAACAUUGAUAAAAUUUAGCCCAGAAUCAUAGCACCCAAUCAUGGUCAACACCCGUUAUGCACAGUUUUCCACAUUAAAAUUCAAGGUGAGCAAAGCGAAAAAAGAAGUCGAAAAGUAAAAGCAAAUAGGCCCCAACUUACAAAACAGAAGCAGGUACUCGAAAAUAUCUACUCAUAUCAAAGAGAUUUAACACGCAUUAGUGGACUCCUAGGUUACAGAUGAGGUUUAUCUUUUCAAGAGUUGAUGAAGAGUUUUAGAAACUAACCUUUUCGCUGAGUAAACAAAGUUGUAAUGCUAGGCGACAAUGAAAAUCUGAGGUCCAAGCACUAAUUCGCUACUAAAAUACUAAUUUAAAGUGAGAAAAUAUAAAUUGCUACCUGGGUGUGAAGUUAUGAAGUUUGAAAGUAAGAAAGAAUGAAGAAAUGUGACUAUUGGCCAUAUAUGUUGUUCAAUCUGUGUCCAUUCGGCGACGUUAGUCGCACUCGCCAACCUACUCAGUGAAUCGCUGAGUGGGCAUUUAUUCAGCCCUUUCUUCAGAAAUCUUCAAUUUUCAGUGGGUGACUUCGACGGUCUAUAUCGAGAUCGCUAAACUUAUUAGCGAUGUGCCGAGUUGCUUUUCGAGUCCACCGAGUUUUACAGGCUCUGUACAAUUUUUGUGUUGAGCCAAACGACAGAUCCAGUCUGGCUCGCUGACCUGUUUGGCGACUCGCCGAAUGGACUUUCUGCUCGCCAACCUAAAAUUUUGCACACUUCCCUGUUUCAACCUGCAACACAACACACCAUUAUUUCUAAAAGUAAAAUCCUAAUCGUUUAAGGCCUUGGGUUGCCUCCGAAGAAGCGCUUUAUUUAUCGUCGUGGCACGACACAAAUCGUUGCUCAAGUUUCGUUGUUGGGAUUGGCCAGGUCCUCAUUAGGCCACCCCUUAUUUUCCUGCUGAUGGAGUUGAGACAUCGCAUUACUCAUCGGGUCCUCUAGCAGUUGGACACCUUUUGAAUGAGACCAAAUCAUCCACUUCAUUCCUUCAAUGUCUUCCUUCAUUCUUUUCAGCUCUCUAUCUUGCUCAAUCACCUUAUGGAGAAUGAUUGAGAGCAUUUCCCCAAGGCGUUUAACCUCAUUGUCCUUGAGACUUUUUCGUUCAUGAGGAGGGAUGUAUUUAUCCUUUCUCUUACACUGGAUUUCGAUCUUCACCAUCUUUUUAGCCAACUCAUCCAUCUGAGUCAUCAGGGCGGCCAACAUGAAGUCUUUUUCUACUUUUAGGUUCGUUUCAGCCAUUUGAUUAAACAGUUGGGUUGCUAUCCCAUAUGGUUGUUUUGCAAUGCCUCCCGGAAUGAGUUGGUCGACCAACCUCUUGUUUCCAGGAUCAAGACUUCUAUAGAAACCGUCAAGGAGAGCUAUGUCGGGAAUGUCAUGAUUUGGGCUUUGAUUGAUCAGUUCCUUAAACCUUGCCCAUGACUUGUGGAUCCGUUCACCCUCCAAUUGCUUGAAGGUGAGGAUACGCUUCCGGAAUAUCAUUACCUCUACUGAAAGAAACUCCAUUAGUUCCCGAGUGCUGCCAUACUCAUUUAAAUGGACAAUUUAACGAAAAACAAAACUAAAAGUAAAGUUAGUGAACUACAACUAAGAAGAAUAAAAAUUCUAUUAAUCUAAAAAUUCUCAAAUAACACCACUCCCCGGCAGCGGCACCAUUUUGAUGCUUAUCGUGACCAACGACACUAACCUACGGUAUGAGUGUUUACGAUCGUCGAUAGUAUAGUAACCCAACUAAAGGUGGGGUUGUGUCCCAAGGGAGUGGUUUUUGAGAAUUGAUAGAAAAAUAAAAUUUAGCUCUAACUAGUCAUAGCUAAAGAUAUUAACGAAUAAAAACAUGGUAAAUAAAAGGGGUGAAACGAAAGUGUCAAAUAUCAAUUUUGGGGUUUUGUUACAAGUAGUAAAAGCAGCAAAAAUUAACAAGAAAAUCAAGUAUGGGGGAAAUAUUCUUGGGGUGUGAUCACAAUACAAGUUGAGAUAAAUAGUUGGGUACAUGCUUUUGACAAGAAAUUUGUAAGAUAAUAGUGACUAGGCUAAGCUUUAAAUGGAAAUAAGUUCCCUCUUGGGCAACGUACCCCGUUUCAAAUGCGUUUUUCUCGGACACCCAUUUGUAGCAUGAAGUCCAGCCUAUGCCUUACCCCACUCACUUUCUCGAACUGAGUGUUAGGAUAUGGGACUAGGGCUCACCAUAUCGAGCUAAACCUCAUGUCGACCUACUUUAUAGGCAAUCAGUCUAGUGGUCUUGGUUUCGCGACCUCUCUCUCGGGCAAGCCAAAAACACUUGGGUGACUUUGUAUUUGCAACUACAAACCAUUUAGAUUAAACCACAACUACUAGGUGAAAUCACGAUUAAACUACAUCUAACCUAUUAGCAAGCAAGACCCAACAAUAAUAUCAACACAUAUUUGCUAAAUCACACCCUAAGAAUGGGGGGUUUUAGCCACACAUCAAGAAAUAACAAAAUACACCUAAAAUGAUAGUAAAAUCAAAUGGGUAUAAGAAAUUAAACCUUAAUUUAAGCAAAGGAAGAAGAAUAGAGAAGACUCACUUCCAACUUGGGAAAGGUGAACGCCUUUCUUUAAGUUCCCAAAAACCCUCUCUAAACUUGAGAGAAAAUGUCUAAAAAGUACUAUUCUAUUCUGGAAAUUAAAAUAAAAGUUUGACUCCUAAAAAUAAUAAUAAGUUCAGUAUUUAUAGACUUCAGAAAAUAGCGUUGGCGGAUCUUUCGGCGAAGUUAGUCAAUGUCGCCGAAUAACUUCAACAACUCGCCCUUUGUCUAUCUCAUCGCUGUUUCGUGCUUACCUUCAGCACCUUCACGUUCUGGACCAUUGGGAGGUAUAGUACUGCUUCACGGAACUAUUCGGCGAAGCGCCGACUGCUCCUUUCAUCACUUUUUUUAUCCUUCUCCUUCAGGGCUUCGCGUUGGAACAAAGGGCAGAGUCAAUCCCUUCGACGAAUCGCCAAGUGUGCUUGGCGAUGCUCGGGUUUCAGCUUCGUCGUUCUUUUCAGCUCUUUUGUUCCUUUUUGCGCCUAAGUGUCCAUGCUUUCACUAAAACUUCAAAUACUUAAAACUUAAGAAUUUUCAUCAGAUAUUUAGACAAAAUAAGCAUUCAAGGACACUAUUCUUAUCAAAAUAAAGCCCUAAAUGAGUCCAAUUUGUGGACUCAUCAGAAAUAAUGUGAAGCUAGAAGUCAAAGGGAUAGGCACUUGCAAAGUAGACUUGUGUGGUGUCCAUUCUUUGAUGUUGCAUGACGUCCUAUAUGCCCCAGAGAUUCGACGAAACUUAGUAUCUAAGUUUGUUCUUUUAGACGUUGGUUUGAUUUGUUUUUUAGUCGUAAUGGUGUUAGAAUAACUCUAGCUAAUGUUUUAUAUGGUUUUGAACUUCGUUAUGACCGUUUUUCAUAUUAGAUUGUAAUCCUUCAACUUAUGACUAUUAUGUUGACCGUUGUGUUAUGACAUGUUAUUCAAGUAACAAUGAUAGUGAUGUUAUUACAUGGCAUGCAAGAUUAGGUCACAUAGGGCAAGAUCAAAUGAAUAGGUUGGCAAAAGAAUGUCAUUUAGGUUCUUUCACCAAGAUUGAUAUGCCAACUUGUGAAAACUGUCUUGCUGGUAAGAUUACGCAUAAACCAUUUGGAAAGGCUAAAAGAGCUGAGUUCCCGCUUCAAUUAAUUCACUCUGAUAUUUUUGGUCCAAUGAAUGUGAAGGAAAGGUCUGGUGCUACAUACUUCAUUAUAUUUAUUGAUGAUUUCACGCGCUUUGGCUAUGUCUAUUUGAUUUCUCAUAAAUCUGAAGCACUUGAGUGCUUUAAAAGAUAUAUGAAUGAAGUUGAAAAUCAAUUAGAUAAAAGCAUAAAGGUUUUAAUAACUGACCGAGGACGUGAAUAUUUGUCAAAAAAAUUGAAGAAUUAUGUACUGAAAAGGGUAUUAUCAUACAGUUAACUACUCCUUAUACACCUCAACAAAAUGGUGUAGCUGAAAGAAGGAAUAGAACAUUGUUGGACAUGACGAAGAUUAAUGAUGGCGCAUGCAAAUUUGUCUAUCUCUUUCUGGGGAGAUCCAUUAUUGAUUGCAGUUUACAUAUUGAACAAAGUGCCUUCUAAAUCAGUGUCUUCCACUUCUUAUGAACUUUGGACUGGUCAUAAAACAAACUUAAAUGAUCUUCGACCGCGGGGGUGUGCAACAUACAUUAAAGAUCAUUUUGGUGAGUUUGAUAAACUAAAUCCAAAAGGAAAAAAAUGUAUCUUUAUAAGGUACUCUGAACGCUCCAAAGGGUAUGUGUUCAUCGAUGAACUGGAGAAUGGAAGUAUUAUUGAAAUUGUAUCACGAGAUGCCAGAUUUUUGGAAAAUGAUUUUCCUAAAAAGGGUGAAAUAGAUGAAGUUGAGCCUCUGUACGAAAUGUUGAAUUCAAAAGAUCAGGUAAUGUUGUCAAACAUACUUGAUAAUUCAAUGGAUCAAGAAAUGAUUCUUGGUCCAAGUGGGAGUUAUGCAUCUCAAAGUCUUAUAAAUGAAUUUGAACUUCAAAUACGUAAAAGUACAAGAAAAGGUGUACCUAAACAAUCUUAUGAGAUUAAGGAUCAUGUUUUCUUGGUAUCUCCUAUAGAAUUGGAUAAACCUAAUUUUGUAACUGAGGCAUUAUCGAGCCCUGAAAGUGAUGAAUGGUUAAAAGUGAUGAAAGAAGAAUUAGAGUCCAUGAAAAUCAACAAAGUCUGGGAUCUAGUUGACAUUCCCAAGGAACGUAAAGCUAUUGGGAAUAAAUGGAUUCUCAAAGUUAAACGCAAAUCGGAUGGGCCAAUAAAAAGACACAAAGAAUGAUUGGUGGCAAAAGGUUUUACUCAAGAAAUUGGAAUAGACAAUGAGGAAACUUUUUCACCAGUUGUGAAGUUUACCUCUAUACGAUUACUUUUAGCUAUUGUUGCACGUUUAGAUCUAGAUUUACACCAAAUGGAUGUGAAGAUCGCUUUUCUCAAUGGAGAAUUGAACGAUACAAUCUACAUGGAACAACUAGUAGGUUUCGUUGUUAAAGGUCAAGAAAAGAAAGUUUGUAAAUUGAAAAGAUCAACUUAUGGCCUAAAGCAAUCUUCAAGGCAGUGGUACCUGAGAUUUCACAAGGAGGUGAUGUCAUUUGAUUUCACCAUGAUCGAUGAAGAUCAUUGCAUCUAUGUGAAAAAGUCCAAUGAAAAUUUUGUAAUUCUUUCUCUUUACGUAGAUGAUAUUUUAUUAAUAAUUUAGAGUAUGUGAAAAUUGUCAAGUCAUGGCUUUCAAAAUCAUUUGAUAUGAAAUAUAUGGGUGAAACGGACUAUAUAUUGGGUGUUAAGAUCUAAGGAGAUAGUUCUAAGAAAUUUUUGAGUUUAUCUCAAGAAACUUAUAUAAAGAAAACAUUGAAACGUUUUCGAAUGAAUAGGUGCAAAUACAUGGAUACUCUUGUAGCAAAAGGUGAAACUUUAAGCCUUGAAAUGUGUCCAAAGAGUGAAAAAAAAGGAAGACAUGUCUCAAGUUCCUUAUUCUAGUGUUGUCGGGAGUUUGAUGUAUGCUAUGAUGUGUACUCGCCUAAACAUUUGUUAUGUUGUGAGUCUAGUUAGCAGGUAUCAAUCCAAUCCUGGAAGAGAUCAUUGGAAAGUUGUAAAGAGAAUAUUCUGAUACUUGAAGGGAACUGCAGAUCAUGCACUUUGUUAUAGUGGAUCUGAUUUAGUCAUAAGAGGUUAUAUAAAUGUUGAUUGGGCUGGUGACCGAAAUGAUAGAAAAUAAACAUCUUGUUAUGCUUUCUUACUAAAUGGUGGUGCUAUUUCAUGGAAAAGUAAGAAGCAAACUUGCACAACUCUUUCAACCAUGGAAUCUGAAUUCGUGGCUUGUGCGUCUGCAGUACAAGAAGUUGUUUGGUUAAAGAGAUUCUUUGAGCAUUUCAAUAUCGCAAAGAAUUCUAAGGGUCCCAUGAUUCUAUAUUGUGAUAGUCAAGCGGCUUUCGCAUAUACGAAGGUACCUAAAUAUCACAGUAAGAUCAAACACAUUGACAUCAAGUAUAACUUUUUGAGAGAUGUAGUGGCAAGUGGAAAAAUAACUUUGCAAUACAUUCUGACACGUGAAAUGAUAGUUAAUCCUUUUACGAAGGCCAUUUCUAGAGACAUGUUUGAAAAACAUGUUAAGGCUCUAGGUUUGCGUAGAAUAUGAUGAUAUUUCUGUAUUGUAAAAUAACUUGAUUGUUAUAAUAUUCUCUUCUAUAUAAUACUAUUGGAUUUAUAUUCAAAUAUGAUAUGCAUGUGAUAAUUUGUAAGAUAUAAAGUGUGUCGAACAAGUCCCGAGAUUGGCUCUCUCACAUGAGCAAUCGCCUCUUACGUUGGGGAGCGUGAAGAGAUGCGUUUCACCACCAUAUUAUGACUUGUUUUAUGAUCCAGAUAAAAGUUUCUUUAAGAAAAUGAGUUUAAGCAUCACUGAAGAGAGAAACUAGGGUUAAACAUCUGGAGGUGUUAAGACCAAGGUCUGUACGAUGUUGAAUAAUCGAAAGAAUGGACACAUACACCAAUCUAAGGUGUAAACAUUGUACCACGUGUUUCAUACCACGUGUGUCAGGAGAUCAAUGGGUCAAUGAAAACAUGGGUCCCUGCUUCUUCAUUGUGUGAGACCCCGAAAAGUUAAAAUGACUUUUCAAUGAAAUAUCCUUUGACCUUUUACUGUUUCUUGAAGUUUCGAUCGGUGUUGCUACUUUAGCAUGUUACUAAUAGUCAUGAGCGAUUCAGCAAUGCAGUACAUGUCUUGGAAAGCAGUGGAUAUGGAACAGAUAAAUUCGAGUAGAAAGGGAAGAUAAUUAAAUGAACAAUUCAACUUGUAUACAUAAGCCGGCUAUUACACUCGAUUGUAAUUGUGUGUAUAAAGUUAAACAUGAACUCGAAUUCACCUCUUUAAGAGGUUGAGGGAUCGAAUAAGUAACUACUGAAGUAGUGAAUGACGUCUAGGGUAUUGUGAGUAAUAGUGUCCUUAAAAUAGUAGUGAAUUCUUUCCACAUGUGAUUGGAUUCCUAUGUAGGGCUUGUAAAACCUUAAAGGUAAGCUCUUCAUGCUCACAAGUCGCACGAACUAUUUGUCGUAUGAAUUGUGUGUCAAUUGAUAUUGUGUUGACUUGGGUCUUGUCCACUAUGUGCGAAGUGGGAGAUGUAAGUUUUGGGUCGUGGGUCACCCAUGUGGACCGACCCGACGCGAUCCAACCCAAGAUUUUUUUUUUUGAAUAAUAAUAAUAAUAAUAAUAUAUAUAUAUAUAUAUAUAUAUAUUAAUUUAAAAAGGGGUGGACUGUUCUAACGUUAAUAUGCUCUCCUUUUUAAAUCAAGUUUUUCUUUCUUUUACGCUUGUUAUGAGAAAAAACAAGAACAACAAAAAACACAAAAGAGAAUAAGAAAAUCUUCUUAGAUUAACGACACACAACAAAAAGAACAUUUAGUUUGUGAAACACUAUCUUUGUUUCCUAGUGAUUCAAAGAAGGAUUUGGAGCAAAUCAUUCAGUUCGUGAAUUUCAUUCUGCUGCAUACAACAAUCAAAGGUACAUGCACAAAUCUUGUACCAAACGUUGUUUAAAUUCUUUCACUUUUCAAGGAUCAAAUCUCUUGAUUACCAUCUUUUCUCAAAAGACCUUCAAGCUAACCAUAUAUUUUUAUAAGAAGUCUUUAAUGAAAAAAGAAGAUAUCAACACUUCUGACCCAACUUACAAGCUUUGUCAUACUUUUAGCAAAUAUUUUUUUUUCCCAGUGAAUUACUGUGUAUUUAACAAAGUGAAGAAAGAAAAAUAUUAGUAUUAGUAAGGCAUUGUAUCAAAAGACUGAAAAAAGAAAAAAAACGAGUGUAGACGUAGAAAUUAUACUCGACACGCACUGUACAAGUUAUACUCAAAAGCUAUAUAUUGGACUAAUUAGAGUCAUUUUGGAUCCCAAUCAUUAUAAAAAUAUUUGUUGCUAAAUUUUCUUUCAACACUUUACUGUUUUCAAUAACUGUUUAAUGUUUUUCUGUUAAAUAGUUGACUACUAGAAAUAGAAAAUUGAUUGAAAAAUUAUUUUUUUCUUAAAAAAAAAAAGAUGAUGAAUGCAUCCCUCCUUUACACUUUCAAUUGCUAUCAUAGCAAGUUUCAUAUCUAUUUGUUUUAUUAUAGCAAGUGAGAAAAGAUUAUGUCUUAACAAAUCACCAAUGCAAUACUAUUCCAAGAAGAAACUUCAUAACUUAGCCCCUCUUUACUUUAGUGAAAAAUAUUUCUCGCACUGAAAAGUAAGAAUGAAGACAUUCAUCAAGUCAUAUGAUGUUUACAUAUAAAGAGUCAUUAAGCUUUAAGUUAUUACUAUUCUCCUUACUAAGAAAGAUGACAAAAGAGUAAUGAAAGACAAGCAUUAACAGUAGCACAAGUUUGGAGAACUUAUCAUUCAAACAAUAUUAAUAAUGAAAUUCUUCAGGAGAUCUAGAAAUCACAAAAGAGGUAGUAAAAUUUUUCAAAGAAAACAAAAGUGAUGAUCAAAAUAAAAAUGAGGAAAAAUGCUAUAACUAUGAAAAAUAUGAACACAUUGAUAAUGAUUACACUGAAGCAAAGAAAAUAUACUCUUAAGAAAUAUCAAAGAAAUAAAAUAUUCAGCAAUUGAGUGAUAAAGAUGACUCAAAAGAUUAAAAUGAUGAAACUGAAAAAUGUCUGUGUCAUGGCAGCUGAAAAAUCAAGUGAGGUAAGAUCUUGAAAAGAAUAAAUUAAAGAAAGGCAAAAAAAAAAACUUGAAGAAAAUGAGCAUAAAGAAGGAAGUUGCAACGUUGGAGCCUUGGAGGAUAACAUCUCAAGGGAAUGUCAAUUCCUAAUAACUGAACAACAAUAACAACAUACUCGAUGAAAUUCCACAUGUGAGGUCUCAAGAGGGUGGAGUGUACACAACAGAUCAUAACCCUACCUCGUGGAGGUAAAGAGAGUGUUUCCGGAGGACCCUCGGUUCAAUUAUAACAUAUCAAAAUCAGACCAAUCGGCUCUAGCAGACAACUCACAUUCUUUUAUUCUCUUCUUUUUCUUCACGUUUCUCUGAUUUCCAGAAAACGGCGAAGAUUCGACUGGGUGCAAAUUGAUACUUCAAAUUACAGGGCGAAAAAAUGCAUCAUUAUACAAGUGAAGUUUAUUUACUUACAAAACAGUACACACAUUUGGACUAACAACAAAAUGAUAGCUAUAGCUUUCUGUCUCUCGGCAAAAUAAAAAAUUGGCUUCCCAGUUCUAUUACAAAGAAAAAACGCCACUGCAAUACCUGUGCAAAUUAAGAAAGUUAACAUGAGAACAACAAUAUUCAAAAGAUAGGGAUAAACCCUUUUCACUGCAAUAGGUUUACUGGGAAGUGUAACUUCUAUACACAGUGCGCGAAAGAAAUUUCAAUGAAAUUCGUAACCUGAAAAACAAGGUGGAUUGUACUUGCUACAAUAGGUUAAAAUAUAUAUAUAUUUAGGGCCAGAUAUAUGCAAGUUAAAUCCUAUUGGAAACAUAAGAAAACAGGGAGCUCAUAGAGAACUUAUUGAUGCACAUGUAGGUUCAAAAUAUCCUUGUGAUUUCGAAAGUACUUCGUUAGAACUUAGAAGUGAAAAUUUUCAGUAAAUAUGAUUUUGGCUUGGAAACUUGGCUGGUGGAGAUUUUACCUGUCACUGAACUUUUCAACAGCCUCAGAAGCGUAAAGAAGGGUUUCAUUGGCUUUCUCAAGUACCAUAUAAAGCUCCUUUCCUCGUGUCAACCGAGAAAUCACCCAAGCACCAUUUUUUGCUCUAAUGCAUAUUUCUUGGUCUUUCUCGCAGUCAGAGCCAUCACAUUUAACUCUGCUCUUUUCUAAGUCAACCUCUUCUCGAAGCUUACUCAUUGCAACUAAAGAAUCCUGCACACGUAAUCAAACUUUUUAGAGUAACAGUUAAAAUCUAAUAUUACAGUACACAAACCUGAUCACCAUGGCUAAAUCAUCCCAUGAGAAAAGAACAUUACCAAUUCAUGAUUAACUCUCAUUAAGCAAAUGUUUUGUGAACUUAACAAGAAACUGGUCACCUGGUAAAUGUUCAGUAACACAGGCACUCAUGCAACAAGGAAAACGUCAGGAAGUUAUAUUCAACAUGUACAGAGAGUGUGUAUCAUCACUUUGACAAAAAUAUUGAUUGAAAGGUAAUUGGGGCUUAAUAGGUCACCUAAUACAAGAACUCUAGGAGCAGAUUUUGGUUCUAUACAUCUUUAAAACAAGCUACCAAAUAGAUGUUUGUCAAUAAGUGGAUGAGAGUCUUCAAAAUAACAAGCAACCAAGCACCGAAAUAUGCGGACUGUGUGGUAGCCUAUCUUUUCUUUUCUAAUUUUCAGUUUUACUCGCUUGUGGUAGAUAGCUCAUACUAAGAGUGCAAGGUAGCCAAAAAACUCAUUAUGAGCCACACGCAAAAACCUAAGCAUCAUGGAAGCAACAACAAACAGCUCACUUCCAAAGGAAGCUAACAAGAAGUCUCCAACAUAUCAAAUUAUAUGGGCCCCGAAAUGCAACUUAUCCAAAAAUACAAAACCCCAAAAUCAAUGUAAAUUCACUUUACCAAUACUUAAUUUUGUACAAGCUUUCCAACAGCAAGCACAAAAAGAUGCAAUUUAGUUCAGCUAUACCCAUACAAUUAUAACUCCAAUAAAUGUCUUGUCUUCAAAAUUUCAAUAGUACUGAGAUUCUAAAAGCUUUGACAACCAAAAUAAGGAAAAAGGAACUGAUCUAACCUUUGUAAGCGUUGUUACUUUUCCAGGUGGGGAUGCCCGAGAAAUGUAUUUAUCACCAUCCACAAGUAAGUAGCGGUAACCACUCACAUGAUAUGCAUUCUCGCCACCCCAUCCUCGGGAUAGUUUCUCUUCAACUUUGAAUAUCUUGGGUGAGGCCUAAAAUUACAAGAUAUGUCAUUAACUAACCAAUAUAAUAAUUCCAUCUAUCACAAUUAUGCUCGCCAAAGGACUAUUAAUCUCAAAAGCAGAGAAUAUUUUCAGCAAACGAAAAUGGGAAGGGAAAACCCACGGAGAACACAAAGAAACAUAAUGUUGAUAAAAGCACUAUGAUUGAUAUUUAUUUCAGUUAUUUUCACUUGAGCUAGUAUCUUUGUUUUCUGUUUUUCUUCUCAGGGAACUUAGCAGAAACUUCUUGCAUCAAGUGGUUAUCACUUCUACCUGUGCCCACUCGACUUAUGAGGAGUCAAACCAAGACUAGCUUGGUUAGUAACCACUACGAGCCACUAUUUAAAGUCUUCUAAGAAGGCCUGUAAAACCUAGAGCAACAAUAUACAGAUCGGAUAUGUAUUUGUCAACUAAAUAAGGCACGAAAACAACCAAGGAAAGAAACCCAGUACAGUGAGCUUCUUAAUAAGGAAAUGUCGAGUUUAGAAUACAAUUAAGUUGAUGCUAUUUUUAAGUUUGUCAACUAAAUAAAAUAUAGACGAGGCUUAAGCAGUUAUCUCCUUUCCUAGACAAAAGAAUUCACAAGAGAAAAAACAUGGGAUACAAAAUGUCUAGGACUGACCCUACUUUAGUACACCAAGGAAUUGAGUUAAUAACCAAACUUAAUUACGUCAGAAUGAUUAAGUAGUUUGUAAAUUCUAAUUUUGACAAGGGUAUAUUAUAUAUUUCCUUCCGUUCUAUAUUUGCAGUCAGAUUGACCUAAUGUGUGAGUUUGAACCCAUAAUAAAAUGCCAGAUUGCACAUACUGAAACAAAAAUGAAGAAUUGGUGGGACGAUUUACAAUCCAUGACAGUUCAAACUUCCAUGAGAUACACAGGCCUGGGAGUUGCUGUAGAUCGCCAUGAAGGAAAACUUUUAAUCUAUUGCCAAUAUAAACUGAAAAGAGUUCCAACUUUCCUGCUCAUAAGAGAUUGGCAUUUCCCAUUUCUUCGUUCAUCCCAGCUGCAACAGUACAAUAAACUUUUAUUUCCUUGAUUGUCCAUUCUGUCGCCAGAUAAAUUAGGUUUUGCCAGCAACUACUCCAACAUCCUGCCACCUCCACCCUUGCUAACCAUCUAUCAUUGUAUAUAUAAUAUAUCCCCGACAAAAGAAGAGGAAAUAGACACCUUCCUCCUUAUAUAGAAGGUGUGAGGUAUAAAAAGGUCCAAGCUCCGUAGCGACUUUAUGCAAUUACUUUCUUUUCUGCGAACUGGUAAGUUCUUUAUGCAAUUACUUUCUUCUCACAUUCACCAUUGUUAACGUUAACCAAAUGCAGAAAAUCAACAAGAACCAGGCAGAUAUUACUAGGCUAACCCUUAUCCAUAGCAACACAACAACAACAACAUACCUAGUGAAAUUCCACUAAGUGGGCUUUGGGGAGAGUAGAGUGUACGCUGACGUUACCACUACCUGGUGGAGGUAGAGAGGCUUUUUCUGAAACCCUUAUCCAUAGCCAAUGUAAAAUUAAGACUGAAUAUUAUAAUUAACCCACUAAGUUUUAUCUUUCAAUGUUUCAAAAGAGGUCAUAGAAAAGUUUUUAAGAUAUAAAGAUAAAUUUAAACCCUUUUCAAACACUGCUGCUAUAAAUUCCAAUUUACAGAAUGAUGUCCUAAACACAGGGUUCCUAAUUUGGAAGUCAGUGAAGGUCAAAAUAAACAGCCUACAACAAGAAGUGAGUUAAACAAGGACCAAUUUAUUUUCAAGAAAAUAAGACCAUUUGUUGCAUUGACUUACAUUCUCCAGGAUUUGCUGCUUCACCACUGACAACCCUUGCUCCCCAUUGUGUACAGAUGUGACAGGAAUGAGAAGUAUUAUGGUGAGGCUCUUAUACUGAAAAGCACAAAGAUACAUCCUCUCCUCUGUUUGCUUGAGCCAAAUUGUUGGACUGCUAGGACACAAGCUGCCAACUUCUGUGCCCCAAAUAUCAGUAACAAGGAAACCAUCCUUCCCUUUGGACCAUUUCUCAUGCUGUAAGGGCCUAACAACCUGAUAGCUACGAACUCCAACUGGAGAAGUAUCCCGUGAGUUGUAGUACCGGUCCAGAACAGAGUUAGAGCUUGUUGAUAAAGACACAGAAGCAUUAGAAGUAGUACUUCCUUUGCGUAAAUAGGACCAGGAGCUAGCUCCAGCAGACAGAGCAUUUGGGGUCAACCUCAUGACUGUGUACGUGAAUAGGUUAAUCAGGUCAUCCUGAAAAGAUGAAUAGUGACCAUUCAUGAUUAGAGCAAAACGUGCAUUUAAAGGAUCCUCCAUAUAUAGUUGGUCAUUGCAGACAUUAUUGGUUUUGAAUUGCAACUGCUUCUAAAACAAAGUUACUAAAGAUAAAUCUGGGAACUGGCAUAACCUGACCAGGAUGAUCGCCUAGUUAAGUUGGGAUCAGUCCGGGUUGAAACAGCCCAAGUUGGUUUCAACUUAGCGCUGGGCUGGCAAAAAUUCUUAUGGUUUGGGUCCGGCCUCGGACCAGGACCACUAACCAAUUGUACCGGUUCUUUGGUGGGCAGGGCUGGGAUUUAUUUAAACUUUUAUCAUUGUACCUAUUUAAAUAGAUUUUGGCAAUAAUUAUUUUGAAAAAUGUAAACUGUAACUUUUAAAAUUAAUCUAUUUUUUAAAAAAAUAUUAUUGAAAAACGUAAAUGUGACAUUGUAUUUGUUUAAUAGUUUGCAAGUUAAAACACGGAAUACUUGAGGAAAAAUAAGUAAAAUAAACAGUAGCUAUUAGACUAUGAGAUUUAACAAAAGUACAAAUUAAAAAAAAAAUCAUUUCAUAAAACAAAAAAUUAACAAAAGAAAUCUCAAUCUAAUAUAGUGACAUAGCAUAUUCAUAUUCGAAUAUAUUUCGUUCUUUAGUGUUUGAAUCAUUUUUGACCACUUAAUUUAACCCAACCUUUUAAGUGAACAAGAACUUCUGGUGUAUUCCCCGAGAGUAAGCUCACUUGUCCCUGUACAGAUGCAACCGCACAAACUGGAAUCACCAGUUUUAGUUUUUAUUUUUUGAUUUGUACUUUGUAGUCUUCUUUUCCCUGCCGAUCACAGACUGUCCAAUUUGGAAGUAGUUUCACCUUUGACCCAAUUUAUGGGCUAGAGCCUAGAAGUCCUGAAACUGGCCCAAACGUAAACCUGGAAUAGCCAGGCCAGUUAACCUUCCUGGGUCUAUUUUCUGGGCCAGUUUCCUAGGCUAACCCGAUCCAACUGCCAGGUCUAACUAGACCAGAAGUAUAAAGAGGGAGUAAAAGUAAAAAUGAGAGAGAGAGAAGCCUACAGGAGAAAGAGUUGUGGACACCAGCAAAUCCUGGAACAUGAUCAGUGAGUAGCUCUGUUUGCAGCCAGCACAUGAUUCUAGCACUCUUACAAGUGACUGCGAAUGCCAAAUGCAAGAAACUGUAAUUAGAAUGGCAAUAGAUCACAAGAUUAUGGCAUGUGCACAAUAACGUUAGCCUUACUAGCAAAAAUCUACAUUGAGGCCUUGGAUUUCAUACACACCUCAAUCAAGAGGGGACAUAAAAAAUAGAGUUCAAAUCAUCAGUUAGGCCAUAUAUUAUUUUUGAGAAUUGAUAACAUUGUCUUCUUUAGCAUUAAGGGAAUGCUGGAAACCUUUUAGAAAAAUCAGAAAAGAACAAAAAGUAAUACUUACAACGAUCCUAAGAAUUCUAAAAAUUGAUCUGAAUCCUCCAAUCCUAUCUCUUUACACCAAAAUAUAGAGAUACAAUGCAAUUCUAUUUAACCUUGAGAAUGAAAUUCGAUAUUAUCUUCAAAAUUCCUAUUAUUCAUCUCUUUCCACACUGUCCACCAAAUGCAAUGUGGAAUUAAAUUCCACUAGGUCUUCUGUCUCUUGCUACCUCCUCUCCUAAUCCAGCACCUCACGAAAUCAGUUGUAUGUUCUUGCAUAGUCCAUUUCACAUCUGAAAAGUUGAGAAGCAUGGACCAUAUUUGAGAUGUGAAAGUACAAUAUAAGAAUAGGUGACUAGUAGUUUUCCCUAUCUUCCCACAUAAAGAGCACCACGGAAGUAUGAUCCUUCCUUUCCUCCUCACGACUAUGCACUAAACUUUUGUUGGUGCUGAAUUCCUCCAAAUCUUUUUCCAUAAACUCUGAUGUUUGCUGCUUUGCAGGUUGCACUCCUUCUUGUAUGCCCUGCCAACUAUGAAGAUCCCAUCCUCACUGUGAGACCAUCUAACUGCAUCAUUGGUUGUAUUAGUACCUGCAAAAUCCCCACUUCCUCCAACAAUUUGGCUACUCUCUCUAUUUUCCAAUCAUUUAGUAGCCUUCUGAAAUAAAAGUUCCAACAUUGUUCUAUCCAGCAAUCACUGAUCAUUGCCUCAGAAUUAGUGCACAAAAUAAAAAAAAUCAAGAAACGGGUCCUUCAUGGGCACCUGUUUGAUCCAUACAUCCCACUAGAAUCUAGUUUUCCUACCAUUCUCCACCUUGAUAUGUAAAUUUGGUUCUAGCUUGAGUCAUAAGUUUCUAAUAGCUCUCCUAGCCCCCACUCCAUAAGCAUCAAUGCUUACCUUACUACACCAGAAUCCAUCCUCCCCAUAUUUACAUUUAAUCAAGUCUUUCCACAAAGCUUGCCCCUCCUCAGUAUAUUUCCACAACCAUUUUAUCAAAAGGUAGUUGUAAUGCUUCCUCAAACCUCUGAUGCCCAAACCACUUUUAUCUUUUCUAUGCUUAAACUGUCUUCCAACUUGACCAGAUUGUAUCCUUUGAUCUCUUCACAGCCAUGCCAAAGGAAAUCUCUCCUAAGUUUGUCCAAUUUCUUAGUCAUCUUUGCAGGUAGAGGAAAAAGAAACAUAACAUAUGUUGGGAGAGAAAGAAUCUAGGACAGAGUUGAUAAUGAUGUGUCUACUACCAAUGGAAAUGUAUUGUGCCUUCCAUCUGGCUAGUCUCUUUUCAAUCUUAUCCACUAUGUUGUCCCUCUUCUUCAAAUGUUUGUGUUUAUUGCCUAGAGGCAUACCUAAGUAGGUUGUGGGAAAUUUCUCCACUUUGCAACCCAAAAUGUUAGCUAGCCUCUUAAUGUUUGUCACAGUCUUGAUAGGAUAUAAACUGCUCUUUCCCCAAUUAAUGUUCAAACCUACAGAAGCUUCAAAAAAACAACAAAAUUUGUUUGAUGAAAUCUAAGUUGCUCCUCAUGUGGCUCAUUGAAGAUCAUUGUGUCAUUUGCAUAAAGUAGAUGACAGUUCUUUACUAUCACCAUUGUUACCACUAAUCUGGAAACCUCUGAUCCACCUGUUUUGAGUAGCAAUCCUCAUCAAACUAUCAAACCCCUCCAUUAGCAGGAUAAAUGAAAAAGGUGAUAGAGAUCACCCUUCCUGAUUCCCCUGCCUGAAGAGAAAAAGCCCACGGGUUCGUCAUUUAUAAGAAUUGAGAAUCUCAUCAUGCUUAUGCAGAAUUUUAUCCAUCCCUAAGGCUGGGCACCGGAACGGGUUGUACCAGUACCAUUCUGGUCCGUUCCGGUACCAUUCCGGUUCGUUCCGGUCCGGUAGUAUUCGGGACGGGAUGGGAUACAUUGAACCGGUACACGGAACGGAACGGUACCAUGAUUUGGUACCGGUUCAUUCCGGUUCCGGUCCGGUCCCGGUAAAUCAUUUUUAAUUAAAAUAAAAAAUAAUAUUUUUGUCAUUAUUUACUUUUAUUAGCAUUUCUUUUUUGUUUAUUUAAUUUUUUUAAAAUUACAAACUUAAGUUAUUUAACUUACAAGUUAUAAGUAUAACUUAAUAACUUAUAAACUUCAAAAGAUUCAAAUCUUUAAAACUUAUAACAUAACUACAUAAGCUCAAAAACUAAAAAAAAACUUUAUUAAACUUAACUUACAAACUUAUAUACGUAAAAAUUAAAAAAAUAAUCUUUAAAAUAAACUUAAGUAAAAUUAUUAUAAAUUUUAAAACUUAAAUACUAUAAACUAAUAUAACUUAGAAAAAUAAAAAAACAUUCGUAUUUUCGUAAUUCAAAAUAACUCAAAAAAUAAUUAUUAUUUUUUGAAAUAGCUAUAUGUGCCGUCCCGUUUAUCCCAUCCCGUUCCGUUCUGGUCCAUUCCGGUCCGUCCCGGUUCUAGCCCGGUAUAUAGUGGGACGGGACGGAACCGAGCCUCCAUCCCGGUAGUUCCGGUCCGGUUCAUCCCGGUACCGGUCAACAACCCGGUCAAACCGUCCCGUUCCGGUUCGUUCCGGUCCGGUGGUCCCAUUCCGGUCCGGUGCCCAGCCUUAUCCAUCCCACACAUCUUUCUCCAAAACCCAUUUCUCUCAAGUUGUUCAACAGGAAAAAAAAAAAAACAAUUUACAUAAUCAUAUGCCUUUUCAAUGUCCAACUUGCACAUUUCCUCUAAGGUAUUCCCUUUCCAACUAGACACAACACACUCACUUGAAAUGAAAGCAACAUCCAAUAUCUGUUUUCCUUUAAUAAAGGUCAUUUGGUUUUUGUUGACAAGCUUAUCAAUCACCUUUUUCAACCUUUCUGCCAGUAAUUAUGCUAUCACUUUAUAAACUACAGUAAUCAGACUUAUUGGCGUAAAGUCCUUUAGUUCAGCAACACCUAUUUUUUGGGGAUGAUUGCUACAAAAGUAGCAUUAAAGCUCUUGUCAAUCUUCUGAAUAGCAUAGAAUUCCUGUAUAGCCUUUAUGAUAUCCUCUUUCAAGAUCUCCCAAAAGGACAAGUAAAAGGAUUAUGGGUAGACCAAUAGAUGUUUUCUCCAUAGUACAGAGUUUUAAGCAACCCAAGAUCUCUUCCUCCUCAAAAGCACUCUAAUUUUAUUUGCUCCUCUACACUGAUGUUUGUGAUCCCCUAUAACUGUAGCUCAGGCCUCCACUCCUCUGGUUCUUUGUACAAAUUUUGGUAGAAGCUUUUGAUGGUCUCUUAACUGAUAAAAGGGUCAUUAGUAUUCCAUCCAUCCACCAUGAAAGACUCAAUGGAAUUGUACCUCUUGUGAGAAGUAGCUACUCUAUGAAAAAACUUAGUAACUUUAUCCCCCCUGCUUCAGCGACAAACCCAGUAUAGUCUCUAAUGCGGGAUUUGAGAGGGUAAAGUGUAUAAAGACCUUAUGACUACCUCGAGGAGGUAGAGAGGUUAAUUCCGAAGACUCUCGGCUCGAGUAACGAUUAUCAGAGCAGCUAACAGAACAAUACAAAGGUAAAGAGUACAUAGAAAAUAGUAAGGAAAACAUAACAUACCAAUGAGGGGCAAUAACCAUAACCAACUAAUGUGAUAACUGAAGCACACUAAAUAAUGAGGAAUAACAAAGGUCGUAAGAUAGGCCAACUACGAGACAAAUGCUACUAGUACUAGUAAAAAAUACAAAUCGGGAAACAGAUGCAAUGCACCAAUCAAUCCUACUAGGAAAUAAGACGACUCUCAACUACCUACUAACCUUAUACCCUAAUUCAUGACCUUCAUAACUUCUUGUCUAAGGUCAUGUCCUCGGAGAGUUGGAGCUGCACCACAACGAGGAUUCUUGAUCUAUGCCUCCACCUUAUUUCUUCAUUCUAAGUUACUUACUCAUAGGUGAUAGCCAAAAAAAAAUAAUUGUUGGAUCUCCUCCUCUGUGAGCAUUCUUUUGUUCCUGCACAGCUUCCCAUUUGAUCCAGCUCCUCCAUAAUCUCCUCCUUCUGUGCUUUUCAAUUGUUUCGGUUAUUCUUACUUCAUUCCUUCGUCUUUCCUUUUAAGAAUUUCAGCUUUUCUACUAGAAGAAAAACUGGGGUUCCAUUUAUUGCAAAGACGCUGCCACCACAAUUUCACCUCUUCCUUGAAUCCUUCCACUCUCAUCCACCAAUUUUUGAAUUUGUAAUAGGACUUCUUGAAAUUCAGACCCCCACAAGUCUGUAGAAUUGGGUUGUGGUCAAAUCUCACCAUAGGCAUUGUAGAUUGCCCAAUAAGAGUGAACUGCUCCUCUCAUUGUGAGCAAUAAAGGCAACUAUCAAUUCUGGAAGUUGUAUGUUGUUGUUGUUGUUGGAGAGAUUAUAUCAUUCAGUAUGUUUGAAUUCUAAAACUUCAAUAAAGUUGCGUAGCACAUUACUCUGUUUAAGAGUGUGCUGAAAAGGUGGUAAUGGGUUGCGCCCUCUUAAUACAAAGUGCACUUUGAAGUUGAGACAUUCCAAAAAAGAAACAUAGUUCACAUGAAUUGCCCAAAAGAGAAAAAGAAACAAGAAUCAGGAAGAUUGGAAAGACCACAAAAAAUGUUUAGAUUUACUGUCUAAGAUGUAACCAAAUUACAUAUAUUAUCUAUUUUCCUAUAGUAUAGUAGCUGUAGGCAGAAUCUUUUACGCAACUCAAGAUAAGAGUUUAAAAUUAAAACAUUGUUAUCUUCACAAAAGAGAGAUGGAGAGAACAUUAAACUACAGUUCUUCAUUAUUAAAGCUGUUAUUAGCUUAAGUUUUACCUUUGUCGCUAUAAACAUAUGUUCUAAUAAUGUUAAUGAGGUCAUACUGUACAUGCUAAAGGUGGAAGAUAAAGCAAGUCCACCAGAUGUUUGAUAUGCUGAGAGACUUGGGAGUUUUUGGAACUAUUCCUCCAACUACACGGGGCUAGUCAAUUAGAAGGCCAGCGUAAUAGCUAAAGGAAAAGGCAAUGGUGAUUACCAAUUUUUUCUUUCAUUCCUUGAAUGUGAGUUCCAUUACAUGAAGAUCUCAUGGCAAUCAUGCAGGGAGCUAAAAGUGUAAAAGUAGUGAACAAACAUGUAUGUAAACCUAUAUGCUUGAGCCACCGUGGACUGGAACACUUAAUCUUUAUUAAGGCAUUCAUAAAAUAGAACAGCGCCAAGUGUUUCAGUAAUGACAUCGCCAAUUUCUAAAAAGAUAGUAGCAGGGAUUUUCUUGGACAUCAAGAUGACAUGACCUUUUGGCAGAAGCUAUCAUGUGAAAAGAGUGAAUUAUGGUGGCUUUAGAUUAGACCAGAGAAGCCAGAACUUGCUCCUAACUAGAGCAAAUCGAAGCAACUGUGCAAACCUGAUCAAUUUUGGUCAACAAGACGAGCACAACAGACAAAGAGCUGAGCAAUAUAAUGAAUAAAUCGAGCAAAACAAAUAAAUCCACAGAUUUAUGAUUUAUCUAUUCGUCCCAGUAUGGCCAGGCCUUCAGUGUAAUCAAUAAACUGACAAGACAAACCUGAACUUCAAGUGCUGCCUCCCUCCCAAUAGUCAACAUCUGUACCAUUCCACGCUCCUUCAAAGAGUCACGGAAAUUUGGCAAGUGAAGCUUCUUCCCAGAAAGAAAAUCUGCCACAGAGGAAAAUUAAUAGGCAAAGCAUUCAAGAUGCAGUCUAAUGUUCAAAUUGCACAAACUGAAAUGAACUUAUUAGAUACAGAAGCUACAGUAUUACCCCAGCAGCGAAAUUCCAAUGAAGGCCGCUUUUCAAAUGCUGACAAUCAUGACUUGCAAUGAAAUAAUUUGAACAGGAAUAUUUUCUUAUAAAAGUGAUAAAAUGCAUAUUUUCAAGGUAGCUAAUGAUGCCUCACCACUUAAAUAAUCCAUGAUGAAAUAAUACAAAUGUGUCCGAGUAAGCCCUCCACUUGGUUCUCUAUCAAGUAAUGCUCUGAUGGACCCAUGAAACAUCACAAAGAGAGAGUGAACUUCUUUAAGAACAUUCCGUAAAGCAGCAGUCCGCCAUAUGGCUUCUGACUCACUUUUUUCCACCACCUAAUACCACCAGAAAAGCAAAUACAUAACAGAAGAGUCAUAAAGCAUAAUAAAUUUCUUCUGCAAUGGAAAUAAAACGUGAGGAAAUUUGAGUUAGUCCAAAAGAUGUGUGCAUUAAGCCUUUCUUGUUUUCAUAAGGAAGUCAUACUUAGCUUCCUUGUCAAAAAGAGGUAAGUCAUACUCAUUUUUUCACCAAGAAAUGACAGUCAUGCUUAAUUCAUUCCAUCUUUGUCCAGUCAAAUUUUAUUAAAGAAUUUCUGGGAAAUCUAUUUCACAGCCAACUGCAUAUACAAAUCAUAGUAUUGCAUUAAGAACCUACUGAAUUAGAGAUAUUAUACUCAUCGACAGCAUAGAAAAUAUUGAUAAACUCCACAAAGCACUGGUGUCUGUCAAGGUUGUUAUGUCUAUGUCUAGCAUGAGACCAACCUUACUCCAUUCUUAGACCAUUAAUGACAUGUCUGAGCACGCCAAGAAGUAGGGACCUGCCAUGGUCGGUACGGAAGUUUUGCAACUAUGAUGUUUGGCAGUUUAUUUAGACUUCAACCAGAAGUAUUAUGGAACAAAAUUUCCUUUUGAGUUACCACUUCUCUAGUUCUCUUUUCAUCCUCCCUAAUCUAGUCCUCAAUCUUCUAGAUUUCAGUUCACUGCAUGCGACAGUCCUGGAACUGUUCAUAAGUAAAAUUAUUCAAGUAUAACAAGGACAAUACCAAGAAGCAAGUCAGGAUGUACUGGCAAAUUUUUUUACUUUUUUACGUUGGAUGAUGUAAAUUUUUAUUUAGAAACAGUAACAAGAUGGUACUUCAGAAAAUAUUAAAAACGGGACUUGUUUCCACUAUAUAUUCAGAUUCUAACAAGCCUUUUAAAUUAUUCAAAUUCAAAAGUAAAUUUCGGUUCAUACUCACAGAUGUCAAAUCUGAUGCUAUAUAAAUCUGAUGGUGCAGGAUGUAGCAUUAGAUCUAUGAAAUUUGUGAGUUAUAUAUCCACUUAUAUCCAACAAAGCUUACAUCAUUGAGAUUAUAGCAAGCCUCCACAGUGAUCAUACUUUCAAAUUGUAGCAGGUAGAAGGACAGACCAACAUCAUAUAAUCUCUCAAAACCAGUUCAGAUAAUCAGUGAUCACCACAUGUAAUUAUUUAAUCCGAUAGUUGGUAGAACUUUCCUUCAUCCAUUUCACCAAAGAAUUCUUUACAAUUUAACCAUGACAGGUAACAUGAAAUGCCAGAAAAGUUCACUAAUUGAAUAAAGAAAAAUGAUUAUAUUAGUGCAAGAGGCCAUACCAUCACCAUCCAGAUAUCACGCUCUGCCUCAUAGAAAACAUGGGAGUGCAUCUCUGCUUCUAUAACCUCACAAGGAGCCUCUGGAGAGAAUAUUCUGCACGGAAUGAAAAAAAUAUAAAAAAGAUCAUCAUAUCACAUACAAGAGCCAUCUAGCAUACAACAGCAAGAAGUUGACAACAGCAUCCAGAUGGCUCAGUUCACAUUCAAGGAAUAUCUACCUUACAGAGCAAGAAAAUGAAGAUAAAUAUAAGACGAACUACUCUUGAUCUUAAAAUAACCCAUCCACGUCAGAAUCCCAUUGCUCUUCAUUAAGAAAAUCAAUUCCAAUUUAGGAACAGUCAUCAAGCUCUUUUUUUAAAACAUCUUUAAUGUCUCUAAUAUGAGAAUACAUGAGCACAGCUAACUUUCUACCUAAUGAUAUGGCUGAAGAAUCCUUUGGAUAAGAAUGACUAUUUAUGAAAGGAGAUGAACAAUGAAAACAUAUACCUAAAGCUAAGAACUGAAGCUAUAUCCAGCAAUACAGAUUUAAAAUCACAUUGCAGAUCAGCUAUUGAAACAGCAUUAAAGAAGUAAUGUAAAAAUAUAAAAUCGUAGCAACCAAUCCAGAUAUCCCAUCUUUAAGCAAGAGUUUCUCAAAGAACCACAUGAAUCUUUUAUUUAUUUAUUUUUGAUGGGUAAAGAACCACACAAAUUUUUUUUUAUUUAUUUUUGAUGGGUAAAGAACCACAUGAAUUUCUACUCAUUAAUAGAUACAGGUGUAGAUAUGUGAGUGCCAGUCGCAACAAACCUGGUGAAUGUUAUGAGUCCUUCACUAAGCCCUAUCACAGAGAGUUGGGUGGGGAAAGGCAAAUCAGCAGGAAAGAAAUAUAAAAUCUUGUCCAACUCCUGCCCUUCAUGUUGACCCCUUCUCAAAUCAAAUAUGCACAAUUUCAUAGCUUCACUAACAGAGCUUGCAGCCGAAAUUCCCAUUUAUCUGCUUCCUUCCUAUGACUGAGAUAUCAAGUUUCCAAAUCACAAAUUAGACUAGGUUCACAAACAAAACAGCAAAUAUGAAUUAUCAUACAAGACUUUAUUGAUGUGAUUUUACAACACGCAUGCAUUACGUCUACAUAGUUAACCCCUCAGCUUGUAGCCAAAUCCCUUUUACACAUCCGAGUUCCACAGGAACUUUUACACACCAACCAAACGUGUGUCUAAUAAACACCUCUUUAAUUAUGUAGCAAGUGCAUAUUUCACACAGAAAAAGGGCAAGUGCAUGGACCACUUAUAGUAUCUUAUCUAACAAAAAAAGCAAUCUCCUUCCCCAAGACAAACAAAUCCCACCCUUCUUCUAUGGUGGUUCAGCUCAAAUUUUCAAACCAAGGUAUUGAUCCACUGUUUCAAUCUGGUUUUUAAGCUUCCAAUCAGUAAUAGCAAUCGAACUCAACACAAAAAGUCCCAGUUCCAAAAAAGGAAUCAACCGCAACUUCAAAUGUUAAAGGACCCAACUGCUAUAAUUCUAUAACCAAGAUCUUGAAUCAGUUCCAACUUCAAUUCUUAACCCACAGGAAGAAUUUUCAAAUAAGUUUUGUAGCAAAAAAAGUGUAUCCAAUCAAACUCUUUAAUCAGCAAAUUAUUUACCUCAAACAAUAAGGGGACCGAAAAUGUUGGAACCGAUGAUGGGUGAAAAUGGUGGAAUCAAUGAUGUCUCAGAGAUAUUUGUGAGAAUGUCUAUCUAUGUAAAAAAGAAAAACCAGUAACAUACAACCAGUAAAGUGACAGUAUAUGGUAAAGCACUAAAUCUACAUUCAGUUCUUUUGCUUUAUAAUUAUCUGAAAUUCACAGGAUUUAGUUUUCGUCAACUACUUUAAGUCCAGAACAAUAGUUACCCAGUAUCACAUAUUAGAGUAGAAAUAAAUAAAAUUUAUCAACAAGGCCAAAAUUCGAGAAAGAAAAAAAAAACCCAUACCUAAUUUUUUUAACAAAGCGCAAUUAUAAUUUAAAUUGACCAACUUUCCCCAAAACCAAAAAUAAAUAAAAUAUUUUACUAUAAUAAGCAGGAAAAAAAGAGUUAUGAUUCUGAAAAAGUAAAGAGGACCCAGAUGAGAUAUGGUAAAAAGAAAGAAUCUUGCUAAACCCAUAAGCAGAAGUUGAUAAAUCAAAGAUGAGAAGGAAGCUCACCAACUUGCGGUUCAUAUUCUUGUUGUUUCCACUGGUGAUUGAUCGAAAGCGGAAGUGAUUAUUUGGUUGUGAUUGACAUUUUGCGAUUGUUUAGAUAAGGAUUCAGAUUAGGAAAUUACAUGGAAAAGGAAGAGGAAGUUGAAAUCGGAACUGAACUUCCUCUCUCUGCGUUUGGAGUUUGGACUAUGCCUAUGUGUUCGUUCAAUAUUUGCUUCAGGAUUUAUGUGAACCCAGAACGCAAUUACAUUUGUUGACUAACAAUUUCUUCGUAAAAUUAACUUUUUAAUUUAGUAUCCAAUUUUCAUUGAAAAAUUACUUUCUAUAAAAUAAAUUAAUUAAGAGCUCUUUUGUCCAAGUGAUUAAAAAUUACUUAUUCUGAUAAUUUGUAUUUGAUUAAUUUAUUUUAAAAAUACUUUUGAUAAACAUAUUAUGUUUAACUAAUAUUAUUUUAAAAAGUUAAAUCACAAAUAAGAAUAAGUAUCUAUGCACCUUUACUAUUAAAUUUAUUUUAUAGAAAGAAAAUUAUUUUAUAUAAUUAUUAUAAAAGACUUUAAUGAUAUUUUACUUGUAUUUAUUGAAACGUAUAUUUCAAAUUUUCAAUACAUAAAUAAAUCAAAUAGUGAUAUAUUAUUAACAUGAAGAUUUAGCUAUACUAAAAAAUAUUUAAAACUAUUUCACAAAUUAAAUCAGUAGGAAAAAUUCACCACAAUAUAAGUAGAAUUUGUUAGCUGCAAAGGUAAAACUAUGAAUAAUAAUAUAUAAAAUGUAAAAUAAAACACAUGUGUAUAAAUUAACAAAACUAAUGAGUUAUGCUAAUAAAUUAAUAAGAGAUAUAUAUUAAAUAUAUAUAAAUGGUAUGACAUUGUUAACUUGAAAAAAAUAUUUUUUUGCUCCGCACAAAAACUGUUUCUGCUUCUAUUUAAAAACAGUUUUACACCUCAUUUCUCAGAGAACGAAAAAAAAAAGAGAGUAUUUUUUUCUUAGAAAAAAAAAAUGUUUUUGGCCUCCCAACCACUUGCCAAAACAGACCAAGUAAAGGAAAGCAAUGCAGAAGUUAUGCAUUUCUCUUUCGGCAUCUAUAGAAUUGUUUAUCCUCUAAACAUGUCCCUGCAAAUGAGUUAUCUUCUAGUACUAUACAAAGAUAGGGAAAAGGCAGGAGUUCUAUUAUAUCUUCAGUUACAAAAAGGGUUGGCUGCUAAGUCACUCGAAUAAGUAAUACAACCAUGACAAAGACUAAUGUCAUGACAAAGAUCAAAAGCCACUGGAAGCAUGUUGUCUUGAAACUCCGCGAAUACACAUCCAUUGCUCUGGAAGUUGCAUGCCCUGUACUUGCCAGGCUAUGCUCAACUGCUUUCUCAGUUGAAUCAAGUAUCUGCAUCCACAUUAUAUAUGACAACUAUGAGGACAAUAUUGACAAAGUGACUAGUAAAACCAGAGACUAAAGUAAAAAGUUUGUAACUAGACAAGAUGAAUAAGAAAUCCAGUGAAUCUGAACAACCUAAAUACCACAGUUUUUUAUUUCUUUUCCGCACUGAAUUAGUAAAGAAUCUUCAAACAUGUAGUAAUAUCAGAGAUAGACUAAUAAAAUAUUGUUGUGUCAGAAAAGAUAGUUUAGGUUACCAAUGGCCUCAAUUGCCUCCCAACAGGCAAAAUAGUUUAGAUUGGAGACACAAAAUCACUCUCAAAGCAAAAAUUGUUAAGAGAGUAAGUUCCCAAGUCCCAACAAUUUAAGCAAAAUGAAACGAAACAAAGACUUUACUUUCUCGGUGUUUUUGAUGGAUUGAUUCAUCAUGAGACUGCUCUCUUUGAGCUGCCGUGCCAAAACAACCAUUUCAUCAGUCAAAUCCUCCUGAAGUUUCCUGCAAAAGAUGAGAAUAUCUGAUAGUUUAUCAAGUAGACUCUACCUAACUAAUCUCACUCCUCUCUGAGAGAAAAAAAUAUUGCAUAAAUAAGUGAUUAGUUUCUGUGGUUACUUUUCUCCUACAAUGAAAAAGACUGGACAAACAGAUGGUAGUGGCAAAGAUGCACUAUGGAUCAUGUACUAGAACAGUUGGGAACAUACAUCUAGUUGAGGCACAUAUACAUACAUCACUUCAGAUGGAGGCCUAGGCCUCCUAAGAGCCCCAAACUAUCAUCUUCAAUUUUCAAAUAUAUGCUUCCAAACAACUCUCUAUCCACAUGUGUUAGUUGCAGAGAUGAUGUAUAAUUCCUUUGCUUCUGUGCAGUGCCUCAGCUCAGUGAUAAAAGUAAGCCUCACAAGUGUAGAUAAGCAAUUUUACUUGGAUCAUUACCAAGUAAAUAUUUCAAAACAACCCUUUUUACAAAAUAGAGCCCUACUUGCGUCCUUGUAAAAAAUGAAGGUUGCUUACACAAUUCAUUAGUUCAUCUGCAAUAUUACAAGUCUCAAUGUUUCAUCUUAUGCCAAAAAACCGAAGACAGCAAACAAUUAGACUUCAGGUUUAUGAACUCGAAGCAUCUCUUAUUUCUCUCCCUCCACAAAUUCCAUACAAUAUUGUAAGGGAUGGCGUUUUGGAUCUUCUUGGUGGCUUUUCCUAUCUUUCUUACAUACCAGCUGAGAUAUGCAAACUUAAACCUGUUUAGCAUCUAAAAGAAGUUCAAAGACAUGUCCCACCUUUCCAAAGCAACUGCACAAUGUAAGUACAAAUGAUUGGUAUCUUUCAUUUCUUGACCACAAAAAUGACACCUGUUGCAUAAUGUAGAUCCUCUCCUUCUCAAGUUUUCUUCUGUAAGGCGUGACUCAUGAAGAACACCCAGCCAAAAGAAUAAACUCAAAAGGGUACUUCACAUUUUGUUCAUUAUUAGAGACUACUUAGGGGCCACCUAAAGGGAGUUGGAUUGGGCAGGGUUGGGUAUAUACCUGUACCCGCAUGGGUUGUGGAGGUCCACUGGGGGACCGUACCAGUAAAAUGCCAAAUCAGCUCCAGUAAUGAGGAACCGGACCAGCGGGGUUUGAUGGUAACUUUUUUUUUAUAAAAAAAUUCCGUUUCAAUUUGACCGUUGGUCCCCCCAAACAGCUAUGUUUCAGUUUUUGCAAUUUAAGCCAAUUUUCUGUUUUUUGUUGUAAAAAAUAACCCCUCCCCUUAAUUUUCCCUUUACAAAAUCUAUAAACCACCCCCACCCCAUCCCUCACCCCCCUAUCAUAUUUUCCCACAACUCUCUCUCUCUCUCUAAUCUUUCAACUUUCAUCUCAUUUGAAUUAUCUCUUGAAGUGCUAGCAAGAUUUAAUAGUUUUCUUAAUUAUGAGUUUAUUUUUAUUUUGGUUUAUUUGGUAAUUCAAUAGUAAAGAGCAAGUUGCACUUGUGCUACCGUCCAAGUCAAGUAUUCAACUUAUUGCAGCCCCUUAACACCCUUAUCUAAGAGUCUCUUGACCUCCUCAUGUAGUGUAUCCAGUUGUCACUGUGAUAUACUCUACCUUUCCAGCAUCCCUAACAAGAUUGAUUUUACUUCCCCAAUCCAAGCAAUGCAUUUUGAGUUUAAGGUCCCAUCCUCCAUUCUUCCUACAUGGUAACAAUAGUGAAAACCUGAAGAAAUUGUUUCCUUUAAGGACAUCUCCGACCCAUAACACCAAAUUUUACACCAAAACAGGGUUUGGUGUAAAAUUUCGUGUUGGGUUGGAGAUGGACUAAAAGAGUAUGCCCCAGUCUAGGAUUUUAUCUUAUCAUCUCUAAAAUUAUUAAAAUAGACCUAAAUUUUGAGUUCUACAGAUGAUGCCUUAUCUAUAGGAGGAAACAACAGCCUUUGUGCACCAAUGUUCAUCUGCAUACCAUAAUUUGCAUUAACAACCUUCCCCACAAAGUUUCAUCUUCGUGGUUCUAUCUCCAUAACCAUUUACAUAGCAAACAUCUACAGAGAACUCACACAUUCACACACACACCCCUCUUCCUUUUUUUCAGUGUUAAGACAACUUUUGUGUUGUGGUUGCCUUCCCACGAAAUGUUCUUUCUUCUUUUGUCCAAAUAUUUCAAAAAAUUAUCAGGCACAAGAAACAAAGACAUGAAGUAGGGAGGAAUGAUGUCUAAUCAACUGUUUAUGAAUUAAUCAAAUGAUGUCUAAUCAACUAUUUAUUAGUUAAUCUUCCCCAUAUUGACAAAUUAUUUUUCUUUCGAGUUGCUAACCUUUUUCAAACUUUUCCUAUACUUGCAAAACUUCAAUAGAAUUAUGCUCAUCUCCUAAAGGGAGCCCUGAAUGCAUUGAAUUCUCCUACUUUUGCACCCAGAUAUAUUUACAAGUAUUAGCUUAUUGCCUUAUCAUCCAUACAUCAGACGUUGCUUAGGUUUAUAUUCAAACCUGAAACAACUUUAAAAGCCAGUGGGCCACCUUAAGAAACAUCAUAUGUUUUUCCUUGUUUCACACACUAACAUUGCACCAUUGGCAUAGAAACUAUGUGAGUUAUUAUAUUAUUGUCUUUUUAUUUUCUGAAAAGACAGAUGUUAAGUUAUUGUCCUCUGGACCAAAAAAAAAAAAGAUACCUACAUACCUUUAUCAUAUGGGAUAUUCCCUCCCAGGCACGAAUACCAAUGCACUUUCUCUGUCCUACUUUCUAGGGCAGUAGAAGACCAUUUUUCCGGCAGCAACCACCGGAAUCUUAGCCUUUUCUUUCUAAGCCAACAAUUAUCACCCACUGUGAUAAUUGCUACACACUUUAGCCUAGGAUGGAAGAGAAUAGAAUUUAUUUUAAUGCUGGGUUUAAGUCAUUUGACAUCACUAGAUGGAACUCGAGCAAGUCUGAAUGGUAUGAAUGGGUUGAAAGAAGUAGAAAGAAGAUGACGAGGUCAGUUAUGAGCAAGAAAGCUAUGGAAUGGAUAUGUUUCUGCCUGAGAGAGGCUUCAAAGGAGCAUAAAAAGGAGACGAGAAGAUGGAAACUAGCAGAUAGAGAGGCAGAGCUUUUUUGUACUAAGAAGCAAAAUGAAUAUGGGAAAUUUAUGAGCGUGAUAACCUUAAAUAGUGGUGGAAGGUCGGGCUUAAUCAUACCGGAACUUGCAUUAAAUGCAGGGUGGGUGGAUAUUGCAUUAAAGAUUGAGAGAUUCAUUAAAUGUCAUCAAAGAGAGAAGGAACAUUCUUUCUCAAGGGUGACGGAGGAAGAAUACUCUUAUGCUGAGGCUGUCCAACAGAGUAAAUGGGGGAGCAGUAAUUUAAGAAGAGCCGAGAUGAACACCAAGAAAGGAAGCAUUCUGAUUACUAAGCCAGUGAAUAUUAAGGAGGAAGAUCUCCUCAAGAGAUGUCUUAUAGGAUAUUGCACUGCAGGAAAGAAGGAGAAACCAACUCUGGCGGAUAUCAGGAGCUGGUCCUCAACAAACUGGAAAAAGGUCUUUGGAGUCAACAUAUAUGAAUUGAACAGCGAAAUGUUCCUUUUCGAAUUCCCCAAUAGAUACAUGGCGGAAUUGAUCAUCCAAGGCCAAUGGAGGUGGAAGAGUAGCAUAUUUCAUCUAGAUUGGUGGAGUCCAACAACAGGGUGCACUCCUAGCCCGUCAACUGUGCGUGAAACUUGGAUUAGAGUAGUGGGGAUUCCAUUGCAUUUGUGGUCUAGGAAGGUCUUCCAAGAAAUUGGGGAUCUGUGUGGAGGUUGGAUUGAGACAGAAGAAGAAACUGAGCUAAAAAACCACCUGAAGUGGGCAAGGAUUCUGGUGAAAAACAACGGGAGAAACCUUCCGAAAGAGGUCUCUGUUGCUUGUGAUGGAAUCACAUAUUUUUUUCCAAUUUGGGCAGAAAGCAAACCCAGAUUCGAAAUAAGGCCGGAAAGUGGAGGCAUAGUCGCCGGGGAAGAUGAGGUCUUUUGCCCAGGGAAUAGGUUUAUCCAGAGGUCUGAUGGCGUAAAUAUCUGUGACAUAGUACCAAAAUCCCAUCCUUUUAGGGAUUUUAGUACAUCGAAGCACGUGGGCUGUACUUCGACAGCUAGAAAGACAAUGGGGAAUGGAGCACGUGAGAGGCAUGUGAGUUUUUUAAAUGAGAGGGCUGAACUGGGCCCAUCAGGAAAGCCCAAGAAGAAUAACAAUUCUAAAUGGCCCAAUGGCCCUGAUUUUGCAGCACAUGUCAUCUUUAAUGAUUUACAAGGGACAAAGAUCGGCUACACAGAAACCCAUAAAUUGGCUGGUGACAUAACAGCCUUGCACGUGUUCAAUUCAGGCCAAGGAAAGCAGAACAUGAACACAAAAGUCGUGACAGAGCUGCUGGAGGAAGAAAUCAGGGGAGAUUUGAUGAUAACGGGAGAGGAAGAACCUAACUCCACAGAUAGGGGAGAGGAUAGAGAAAUUACAAAGUCAGGGGAGACUGGGCUAGCAAUACAAAGCUCAAACACAGAAAUAGUUAAUUGGGAGGUGGAGGAACCUGUACCAAUUAUGGUGCAGCAACAACAAAGGGCUCAAGAUGUAGACAAAGCGAAUUCAACAUGGGUACAACAGAACUUGAUAAAACUGGGGAAAAUCUUUGGGAUCGAUUUCCAAGGGCAUGAAGAGGAGGCAACAGAGUUACUACUACAAAUAGACAGUUGCAGACAAGUCAGGAGAAUGGAGCAGGAUACAGAAGUUAAGAAACUCAAGAUCAAGGGUGCACAAGAACUUAAAAGUCUUGUAGCCUUUGAUGUAAAAUUUAAAAGUUCUGGAAGUAGGAAUAAGGGGAGGAACACAAUUUUCAAUACAUGAUGAAGUUUAAGCUAAUAUCAUGGAAUGUUAGGGGAUUAAACGACAGGGAGAAGAGAAGGGUUGUACAUAGUUUGUUGUCUGGAUGGAGAGCAGAUAUAGUGUGUCUCCAAGAAACAAAAAUUGAAGGGGAUAUUUCAGAGAUGGUAAAACAGAUUUGGGGAGGCAGGUGGAUUAGACAUGCCUGUCUAAAAGCAAGUGGAACAAGAGGAGGUAUCUUAUUGAUGUGGGAUGCGAGGGCAUGGAUGGGGGAGGUCUUGGAAAUUGGUUCUUACACCAUUACUUGUAAAUUUGAAUCACAAACCCAGAAUUUUAGCUGCCAUAUAUCUGGAGUGUAUGCUCCUAAUUGUUACAAGGAAAGGAGACUUGUAUGGGAAGAAUUGAGCUCAGUAAGGGGGUUGAUAGAGGGACCCUGGGCAAUGUGUGGGGACUUCAAUGUAUCUAGGUACAUAUCUGAGAAGAAGAACUGCAACAGAAGAACUAAGGGAAUGAGAGAGUUUUCUGAUUUCAUAGAGGACAUGGAAUUAGUUGACAUGCAAUUAGAAGAUGCUGCAUACACAUGGUUUAAGGGAGAUCAACAGGAGGCAGCCUCCAGAAUUGAUAGAAUCAUGAUUUCUAAAGAAUGGGAUGAUACCUUCAACAAUUUGAAACAGAUUCCUCUUCAAAGGCUGGGCUCAGAUCAUAUACCAAUAGCGUUGAUUACUGGUUGCUGGGAGAGAAAUAAAAGCUACUUCAAGUUUGAAAAUUGGUGGCUGCAGUCAGAAGGAUUUGUGGAUAGAGUUAGAGAGUGGUGGAGCUCCUUCAGUUACACAGGAAGAGUUACACAGGAAGACCUGAUUAUGUUUUGGCAUGCAAACUUAAAGCACUGAAACUUAAGCUAAAGGAAUGGAAACAAGAAGAGGGUGGAAAUCUGGGCAGUCAAAGAAGGAGAUUGUUAGAGCAGUUAGCAGAAUUAGAUACAGAAAGGGUAAAUAGAACUCUCACUGUGGAGGAAACGACAAAAAAGGCUGCAAUCUUACUUGAGUAUGAAGAGCUAGUCAAGAAAGAGGAAGUUUCAUGGAGACAGAAAUCAAGAGUACUAUGGUUGAAGGAGGGAGACAAGAACACCAAAUUCUUCCACAAAAUGGCAAAUGCUCACAGGAGAUAUAACAAUAUAGAUCAACUCAUGAUACAAGGAGAGGUUACUCAAGAGAAAAGCAGAAUUGAAGGGGAGAUAAUAGCAUAUUAUAAGAACCUGUAUAGAGAAACACAUCAAUGGAGACCUUAUAAUAAUGCUGAAUGUCCAAUGUUGACUGAAGAGGAAAAACUGUCCCUGCAAGGCAGAUUUGAGGAGAAUGAAGUUCUAAAUUGCCUAAAGCUAUGUGCAGCCGAUAAGGCUCCUGGUCCAGAUGGGUACACAAUGGGUUUCUUCAUCAAGUGUUGGGAUGUACUGAAGAAAGACAUCAUGGACACAUUUCAAAACUUUUAUGAGCAAGAAGUCUUCGAGAAGAGUUUCAACGCUACCUUCAUUGCACUCAUUCCAAAGAAAAAAGGAGCCAAUGAGUUAAGGGACUACAGACCAAUUAGCCUCAUAGGGAGCAUUUACAAAAUACUCUCCAAAGUUCUCACAGAAAGGUUGAAAGCUGUGAUAGAUAGACNNNNNNNNNNNNNNNNNNNNNNNNNNNNNNNNNNNNNNNNNNNNNNNNNNNNNNNNNNNNNNNNNNNNNNNNNNNNNNNNNNNNNNNNNNNNNNNNNNNNNNNNNNNNNNNNNNNNNNNNNNNNNNNNNNNNNNNNNNNNNNNNNNNNNNNNNNNNNNNNNNNNNNNNNNNNNNNNNNNNNNNNNNNNNNNNNNNNNNNNNNNNNNNNNNNNNNNNNNNNNNNNNNNNNNNNNNNNNNNNNNNNNNNNNNNNNNNNNNNNNNNNNNNNNNNNNNNNNNNNNNNNNNNNNNNNNNNNNNNNNNNNNNNNNNNNNNNNNNNNNNNNNNNNNNNNNNNNNNNNNNNNNNNNNNNNNNNNNNNNNNNNNNNNNNNNNNNNNNNNNNNNNNNNNNNNNNNNNNNNNNNNNNNNNNNNNNNNNNNNNNNNNNNNNNNNNNNNNNNNNNNNNNNNNNNNNNNNNNNNNNNNNNNNNNNNNNNNNNNNNNNNNNNNNNNNNNNNNNNNNNNNNNNNNNNNNNNNNNNNNNNNNNNNNNNNNNNNNNNNNNNNNNNNNNNNNNNNNNNNNNNNNNNNNNNNNNNNNNNNNNNNNNNNNNNNNNNNNNNNNNNNNNNNNNNNNNNNNNNNNNNNNNNNNNNNNNNNNNNNNNNNNNNNNNNNNNNNNNNNNNNNNNNNNNNNNNNNNNNNNNNNNNNNNNNNNNNNNNNNNNNNNNNNNNNNNNNNNNNNNNNNNNNNNNNNNNNNNNNNNNNNNNNNNNNNNNNNNNNNNNNNNNNNNNNNNNNNNNNNNNNNNNNNNNNNNNNNNNNNNNNNNNNNNNNNNNNNNNNNNNNNNNNNNNNNNNNNNNNNNNNNNNNNNNNNNNNNNNNNNNNNNNNNNNNNNNNNNNNNNNNNNNNNNNNNNNNNNNNNNNNNNNNNNNNNNNNNNNNNNNNNNNNNNNNNNNNNNNNNNNNNNNNNNNNNNNNNNNNNNNNNNNNNNNNNNNNNNNNNNNNNNNNNNNNNNNNNNNNNNNNNNNNNNNNNNNNNNNNNNNNNNNNNNNNNNNNNNNNNNNNNNNNNNNNNNNNNNNNGGAAAUACUCAAAUGAAAACCAAACACUUCGGAGAAGAGCGAUAAGUGCCAAAUAUGAGAAUGAAGAUAGUUGGAUGACUAAGAUUGUGACCACACCUUAUGGGAUCAGUUUAUGGAGAUCCAUAAGAGCAUUAUGGGAGGAAGUUAAACCCAAAUUCAAGAUGAAAGUGGGGAAUGGGAACAAAAUCAAAUUCUGGAAGGAUGAAUGGCAUGAGAAAGGUAACCUGGAAACUCUUUUCCCUGAUAUUUACAAUCUGGCAAUGUUCCAACAAAGAACUAUUGCAGAACUAUGGACACCACAAGGGUGGAAUUUCAUCUUCAGGAGAGAACCAAAUGACUGGGAAGUGAUGAGGUUGGCAGAAUUCCUCAAGUUGGUUGGACAUUUUACUGGACUUCAGGCAUAUGAGGAUAUGCUUUGGUGGAAAGGCAACAAUAGAGGAGAGUUCAAAGUGCAUUCAGCUUACAGGCUGAUGGAUGAAUCAAGCCAGCAGAGUCCCAUCUGGCCUUGGAAACAAGUAUGGAAGUGUAGAAUCCCACACAAAGUCUCAUGCUUUAUUUGGCUGCUAGCUAAGGAAGCUGCCCUGACUCAGGAUAAUGUAAUGAAAAGGGGGAUAACCUUAUGCUCUAGGUGUUUCCUAUGUGGGGAAACCUUAGAAACUGUAAACCAUCUAUUUCUACACUGCAAAUACACCCGGCAGCUUUGGAGGAUUUUCUUGAGCCUUAAAGGCAUAUCCUGGACUAUGCCUAGGAGAGUUACUGAGGCCUUGUACAGCUGGGAGGAGGCAGGUGCCCUUGCAAAAGACAGAACUAGAUGGAGAAUUAUCCCUGCUUCAAUAUGGUGGGCAAUCUGGAAAGAAAGGAAUUCCAGAUGUUUUGAAGGCAUAGAAAAUAGUGUGCAGGAUGUUAAACUAAACUGCAUUUUGUUGUUAUGUUUUUGGUGUAAUCAAUUAUACUCAAAUGACACUGUCUCUAUAGUUGAUGUUCUAGACUCAAUAUAGAAAUAGAGUAGGAGUGUCUAGAGUGCAUCUGUAUAUAAGGUUUGAGUACAACCCAUGUACUUUUGUGAUAUAAUACAUCGUUACCAUUUUCAAAAAAGUUAUUGUCCUCUGGACCUACCUUAAAUCCACUUAAACAUCAUUUCUCCAUUGCCUAGUCCAACAUUCUACCAAGACAUUGCAAUAACAGGAAUAGGAAGAAGAUCUGCCUGCCUCGGGAGUCGAGACAAGAAAAAUCAGCAUAACUCCUAUAUAUUAAUGUAGAAAACUUAACUGGGAAAUGCAAUAAUUUACCAACUCCUCUAUUUCUAUCAAAAUCCAUCUCUUUAAAGAGAAACUGACCACCUCACAUGGUCAUAUGCUUUCUCUACAUCUAAUUUACAAUGGAUACCUAUUUUUCAUUGUCUCCUUCUUCAGUCCAACUUCUCAUUAGCAACUAAGUUGCUCCUAUUAUCUGCCUCCGUUCACAAAAGCAUAUUGAAAAUCGAACUACUUCUGUAAAUAUUAACUUCAACCUUUCAACUACCUUUGUCAGGAUGUUAUCCAUAAAGAUACACCCAUAAAUUUUUUUUAGUUUUUUUCGUUUUUUUUUGGUGUUCUUUUAGAUGAAGAUGAAUUUUUUUCACUUUCUUUUUCUCAUUUUUUCCGGGGGGUUGGGGGGGGGGGGGGGGGGGGUGAGAGUAUUCUUCAGUGUUCUGCUUAUUAUUAUUUAACUAGCUCAACUACACCAUAAGAGCACACAUCUACUAUCACUUUUAGUCACACAUGGCAAGCUGUACCUUUUCAGGAACAGAUACACAUUGGGGAAGCCCUUGGUGGAACAGAAGUCAACAAGCAAAACUGUCUAUAAAUAUUAAUACAGAAAAGAAGUACAGAUAGAGCACCUGUGCUUCUCAAUAUGUGUCCGUGCAGCAUCAUCCAGUUUAACUGCAGCUGAUGAUUGAUCAGAAUCAAUGGUAUCUCGGGAUUUCUCCUCAUUGUUUGAAUGGACCCUGUUUCACUCAAAGAACAACAGUCAAGAGAGAUAAAUAUAAAAUGACACAUUGCAAUGGUUAUAAAUGAAAAAAGACCCAAGCAAGUACCCAAAUCUUCUUCUCAAUCCUUCAGAAGCAGAAUUCACACUUCCUUCUGCUUUAGGAGUUCCACUGCUGGAAAUCUCACCCUCAGGUUCCUUGGGUGUAUGCACAUCAGACUGGAUGUGGUUGAAGAUAAUUUUGUUGUUAAUCAUAUAAUAGAAGCAAGAAAUAUUUUCGAAAAACUACUAGCAUGUGGUUACUAGCAAAGGAAGCAGUGCUGACACAAGAGAAUAUAAAGAAGAGGAAGUUCCAACUAUGCUCAAGAUGCUAUCUGUGUGAGGAACAGGAAGAGACAGUCAACCAUCUCUUUUUGCAUUGCAAAUGGACAGAUCAAUUAUGGAGAAUAUUCAGCAGCCUUAGAAAGAUCACUUGGGUGAAACCAAGAAACAUAGCACAACUCCUAAAUUGUUGGAUCAAUAUUGGCAAUACUACAAUUAAGGAGGAGAGAUGGAGGAUUGUCCCAGCAUGUAUAUGGUGGACAGUAUGGAAAGAAAGGAAUCAAAGAUGUUUUGAGGCAAGAAGAACAAUGUGCAGAAUUUCAAGAUGAAUUGUAUAGCUCUUUAUUAUUUUUGGUGUAAACAGAAAGUCUUAGUACAGGCAGAAGAACUUUUUGAUGUUUUAGACUAUUUGUGACAAAAAGCAUAGAUGGAGUCAGUCUAGUUUGUAAUACUUUUGGGAGAGGGGCUACUUUGAUGUAGUAUACCUGUGGAUAAAUAGAAGAAAAAGUUACCAUUCUCAAAAAAAAAAAAUAAGUUGAUCUAAUAUAAGUUGAAGGUGACUCCAGAAGAGAAGAUUGAACCACGUUCAAAAACAUCGAAAGGACAGAAGUAUGACAACAAAAGUAACAGUAAGACCAGAGGAAUAAUGAAGUCUGAAAUGCUGAGCAUUAUGGACAAAAAGCAAACAAUGAGGUACUAAACUUUAAGGGCAUUCUACUGAUAAAAACAAAGCCAGCUCUUUCAUAUUCCAUAAAAUAUCAGUAAAUAUACUGCAAUAUGAUAUGUUUUCGUAUAAUAAAGCAAGGUGAAUCUGAAUGGUAAAUCACAGGAAAUGAAACUAGCACAUGCAUACCGUGGGCACAGCUAACUUGGCAGCAACAGCUUCAAUGUUCUCAGCAUAUUCAUUCACCUUGGCUUUUGAAAUCCUAUUUUGGGAGACAACAUGAAAAUGGAGCACACAUCAGGAAGAAAGCAUCUAGUGAAUUUUAAAAAAAUAGAGAUUCAAUAAGAACAUACACCCUCAAGCAAAAUGUUUCAAGCAUUACAUCAAUCUAAAUUAGUUUUUUUUAAUACAGGAAAAACUCACAUGACUGGUUUAUAAAAGUUUAAAACGUUCUCCUCAUACAGUAAAGAAAAAAAUUGGUGUUGUUAUAAGUAUAUUGCUGAAGUUCUAAUCUAAACACAUGAAGAUAAUAAUUCCUUUCAUGCCAUCCCUGUCCAUUGCACGGAGAACAAAAUAACUACUUCCACACAUCACCAAACGGUCUGCACAGAGAUUACUAAUACUAGCAUCAUGACUUCCUCCAUAGAAGGAGACAAGAUAGACCAGUCAUACUGUCAGGAUGCGAUCUUUUUCAUUAUAGGCAGGAUAUUAGUCCACUGUAUAAAAAUAUAACUAAAAUAUGUCCAAUGAGGAGAGAGGGUAGGCGGAGUUGAGAUCGAAGGAGGGUGAUUUUCCAUCGAAUCGACCAUGAUAAGAGGUUUCCAAUUUAUAACUUAUGUAAUAGGUAAAGUGAAAUGUCUAGGAAGCAUACGUUUAAAUUUAAAUGAUAAUUCCAACCAAACGAACAGAAGGCAGGGACUUUAUAAAGAACAGUCACAUUGGUACGGAAACCAACAGUCUGGAAAUUUUGUAGCAGCAUGCUAUUUUCUUCAAAUUAACUAAUUGAAAAAGAACAAAGCAUACAGACCUUGGUAAUCCAUCAGGAUUCCUCUCUUCAGCCAACUGCUCCAGCAGUUCCCUCAAAGUGGCAACAUACUGUGAAAGAUGUACCAAAAGGAAAAAGUAUAUGCAUAUGCCCAUUGAAAGAAAAAUAUUAGAUGAAAAAAACUGUACAGUUCCCUACAUAAGCAAUUGCAAUGCCAUGAUUUCUGAAAAACUUUUCAUAGAAACAACCUAUACCACAAUUUGAGGCUGUGAGCACAGAAAUUAUCAACUUUCACAAAUAACAACUACGUCAGAGAACAUACAGAACAGGCAAAGAUCAGCUUCCUGAAAUAAAUAGAGGCUCCACCAGAGACAUCAAAAACAGUUGAUGCAUGAUUGUUCAGUAGAUUAGGGAAGACAAGGAGGUAUUACUAUGACUCUUUAUCUCUCAUCCUACAUGACUAGAAAUAUUCAGUAGGCGGACGAGCCAUCCUGAGCCCUGUUCAUCCUAGAUAUGGUGAUAUUGCAGUACUACUAAUCUUAAUCACCAUGUCGAGAUCAGAAAAAUACUAUUGCUCCAAGAAAUAUAUUGACAGGUGAAUGUGUUGAAGGCAUGCAAGUGGGGUACAACACUGUACACAAAAUUUGUAUUGCAAAGCCAAAAGAUGUAUCCUUAAGAACGCAAACCUUUAAGGAUUAAAAUCAUCUAAUCAAGAAUAUAAUAUCUUAAUUAAUAUGUAUCCAAAAAAACAGCACAGUCGAAUUAAUGAGCUGAUAAAUUCACCGUGUUUGCGACAGGUUUCACAUAAUGCAAACCCAAGCAGGGAAGAAUGAAAAGAAAAAUAAGCAAACGCAACCAUCAUUUCUCUAUAAAGAGUUGAACUUGAAUGACCUGUGCAUACAUGUAUAAGCUUUGCUUGAUUUUGCUGUUGUGGUGCAGUUACAAGUAACCUCUUCAAGUUCACUUCGGUUUUGCUCAUCCCCAUGACACCCUCUAGGGUACUUUCUGUCAAUAGCUGAUCAAGAAAAUCAAGCCUUUCUGAACCCGUUUGUAAUCUAGCAGAACUGUACAAAAGUAUGCAAAUUUUCUACUCUUCACAUCAGAUUAUGUUUCUUCUUUAUUUUAGAAUAAUCAUCUAGCUCUAUCAUGCACUUCUAGCAUCUUCACACUAUAAAAUUACGAAAUAAUGAAGUGUACAUAGUCUUAGUUUAAACGUUCAUUUUUCCUACUUCAAUUGCUUAAUAAUCACAUAUCCAAAAUAUUUGUAAUUCAAAACAAACUAAUAAUUGAAGAAGAUUAAUGGAGUGAUCAACUUCUCUACAUAAUGAAUGCACCAUAAUCCAAUCAAACAAAAAGGCCAACUUGAACUCAUACUAAAACCAACUCACGAACUAGUCAAUGCAUAGGAUCCAAUCACACAGAGAAACAGAAACCUAAAGAAAAGGUUUAUUUUUAUAGAACCCAGUAGGAAUCUGGGUAUCCAGUUAAUUUGAUGCUUCAUAUCAACUUUCUCUUUUUCAUUAAGAGGGUUUUGGAUUUCCUAAAGGAUUUUGUCCUUGUUCACUGCCAAAUCCAAGUUUUUCAAGGAGAAAGAAAUAGAAAAUAGAAUGAGAACUUACAACUUUGUUUUUGAAUCUGUAUUAAACAACUUCAUUUCUGAAGCUUUGGUAUGUAAAAGGUUCCUCGUGAAGUUGAAACGCGUAAAUGGAUUUGACUACAAGCUAGGGAAACUAUGUAUGAACCCAAAGUCCUAUCGAAGAAUAACAACCAAUUUUUAAAGAUAUUGUCUCUUUCUUCUUCUCCUCUUAUCCUUCCCUUUUUUUUUGGGUAUAAAAAUUAGUUUGUAGUACAACUGACAAUAUGACUGACACAAAUAAACAAAAGAAAAAACAGUAUUUUUACAUACAACCAGUAAAGCGACGAUAUUUGGUAAGAAAAAACACUAAAUCUACAUUCAGUUCUUUUGCUUUAUGUUUAUCUGAAACUCUCAGGAUCUAGUGCACGUCUACUGCCAAAGACCAGAACAAUUCAGCAGAGACCAAAAAGCAUGGGCAGAGUUACCCAGUAUCACGUACUGGGAGAUAGCAGGUAGCCGAUGAAAGCGAAAGUUGACAGGUACCACCAUUAUAAUUAAGAAAAAACAGUAUGUUCAUCAGAGGCAAUAGCUUCUAUGAUCAGAUGAAAGGUUUCAUUUCUUGUUUUCAUCAUAGGCAACAACAAAACAGUUCUUGCAUAAUCUUUUUGGUUAUAAAAAAAAAAUGGUCUUUCAUCUAUUUACAUAAUAAUGCAUUGUAUGCUUGAUUCAGUUGAAAGUCAUUAGUAGAGUAAUUAACAUACAAUGACCUGCAUAAAAUAAGCUCUUUUCUCCAUGAUCUCUAAAAUUAGUAAGUUAUACUACCUUAAGAAAUAUGUAUUCACCUAAACAGGUAUAUCCACUAAAAGUUUAGUCCUUAAAUCACUGUACAAGGAUAUACGAACCUUGGAUUAUCAUUACAAAAAAAAAAUGAAUUGGGAUUAGGGCUUUUACUUUUUCUUCUCUGAGUUUGAUGUAAAGAUACUUACAGAGGAUCGCCGGUAGCUUGGAUCUAGCCGGGACUGGACUGCCGAGCGGCUGGGUAGGGUCUCGCUGGAGCUGGACUCGGGGUUUAUUGCAGGAAAGGCAAAAAGGAAAGAAUGGAGAGAGGGAAAGAAAAAUCGGAAAUGCUUACUUCAAAAUACUCUCUUUUUUAUUUUUCUUCUCAAACGUGAAAAUAAGAUUAAACAAAACAAUACUGAAGUAGAAACAUUUCCACAUAAUUUUGAGAAGGAAAAAAGAAACAUUUUUCAUAUUUCAUUUUACGUAAAAGGAUGAUAUUAUAAUAUGUAACUUCUUGAAGUUGUUGGAUCAUAAAUGAUUAAAUUUUAUUAUUUAUUAUUAUUAUUAUUAUUUUCCUUCGGUGUUCAAUACUCACAUCAGUGCUUGACUAACUUGAGUUUGCGUCGUGUAGGUGCUAGUUGAGGGAAGCGCUUUCUAUCAAUAAUUUUUUUCAUAUCCAGGAUUUGAACCUAGGAAAAAACAACUUCAUCCAUUGCACUACAUUCUUUGAAGGUGAUGGUUUAAAAAGUUGGACAAAGCUGAUUAUUUUUUAUUUAUUUUUUUAUUUUUUAUAAUAAUCGUACCAAACAUACAAAAUUUAUAUAUAAUUCAUGUAUAUAUUAAGAUUAUAAAUAAUUUUAAAUACUUUAAUUACUUUUUCACCAGAUUUUUUUUUUAUCUUUGAACUUUACACCUUAAGUCCAAUUCUUAAAAGAAAUUCAUGAAUCCAAACUUAUUUAUUUAAAGAAAUAACUAUGAGAUCUACCCUAAAAAAAUUUAUACAUUUUUAUAAAUUUUAUUCACUUGUUUAAAGCUUAUAUAUCCCAAGACAUUUUAUCCAUAAUCCAAAAAAAAAUUAUAGCUUUCAUAAUAAAAUGACAAUAAUAUACUAUAAGUUGAAAAAUUAUGAAAAAAAACUUUCCUAACAGUAGGAAAAAAUAAAAUGAGAGAUAGAAAGAUCAUUAAGUUUCUUAAAUAUUGAAAAACUGAACCAAAUGGAUUUACUUGACUAUCUUAGUAAGGAGUCGCCAAUUCCUUCUUACUAAGUUCUUAGUGAUUUUUUCUUUUGAUUUUCCAAUCGAAUUUCUGUAGGGUCCACUCGGAGUGAUGCUCCGAACACGAUUUUCUUCAUACUUAUUGAUGUUAUCAUGUACCACUGAUUGAAUUAGUUGAGUUCUGCUAGCAUGCAUAGGAAAGUUUCUUUGAAGUCUAUGAGGAGAUUUUGGCUAUCAUUUUCUGAAUCAGAGGUUGCCACUAGAUUAUUUUUUUUUUGGUUAGAUAACAACAAAUAUAACAAUACAAUACAAUAAAAUCUAAGUAAUACUAAUAACAAAAAACAUUGCACUAAGAAUAACAAUCCAAUACAUACCAACAAGAAUUGUGAUAGACUUGUAAGGACUGGAUACGAAAUUACAUUUGUUAGAGAGCGCUUUUAUCUUCCUGUGGGACUUUUGAGCACAAAUGCGGAUUUAGUCGGGUCACAAUGUAGGUACCAAACACCGGGUGGACAACCAAAAAGUAAAAACAUGACCCCCAAUGUAGGACUUUACGGCACGAGUCCAGAUUUAUGUGCUCCAGUGAAAUACCGGACACCGGGUGGAAAACCAAAAAAAUACAAUACAAUACGACAGGUAACAACCAUCCAAACAAGCUGUCUCAAGUAGUAUUACAUUUGAUUCCUGGUAUACAUGUUUAUACACUAAAGCACAAGGCAUUAUAGGGAAUACAUUUCCAUCCAACUUUACAGAAGUAUGUUCAGAUGGACAAGUAUUUCAUAUAUAUGGAGGUUCAUCCAGAAGUAUGUUUAUCAUCCAUACCCCUUUAAAAUCCAACUUCCAAAGGGACAUUAAUUCCCAGAACAGUAGAACACUGUCACAACAAGAAAUAAAUACGAAUUUUUUCGUUAAAAAAAAAUCUAAAAAUAUAUAAGAAUUACAAACCUACAUAUCUACAUGAAUGCAGAGCAGAGAAACUAACACUUUACUCAUAUUUGUACGAAGAAACCAAAAGUUUUAGUAGACUUCCACAUUCCAUUGCUCUGCCUUCUUCAACUGCUUUUUGUAAUCUGCCCAGUUAAUACCUUUCAAAAACAUAGGUAAGAAUGUUAGGGUUUGACUGAUAUAUAUAGUGGAUCAAGACAUGUAUAUCGGAUUUAAGUUAUAUACAUUGACGGCUUGACUGUAGUAGGUAGUACUUACUCUACCUUACAGUUUAACUCAACACAGUGCACAAAAGUCGAAUUCUUUUACACAUGUAUGUAUGGAAUAAUGAGAUAUUUGAAAUUAUGUUACCAUCUCUUUCAGCAAGUGAAGUCAUAAUGUCAUCGAUUCCCUGCUCCAUGCCUUUGAGUCCACACAUGUACACAAAUGUGUUGUCUUUCUUGAGUAAUGUCCAUAGUUCUUCAGCAUAUUCAGCCAUUCUGGUCUGGAUGUACAUCUUUUCGCCUUUCUCGUUAGUCUGCUCCCUACUCACAGCAAAGUCUAGUCUGAAGUUUUCCGGGGCCUUCUCCUUCAUUUUCUCGAAUUCCUGCAACAAGUUAUAAAUCUUAGUCCUGCAUUGUGACAUAGUACUAAAUUUUGUAUCCAAGAAGCAUUGAAGACUCAAAUUACCUCCUUGUAAAUAAGUGAGCUGCUUGUCGGUACGCCCAAGAAAAGCCAAGCUAAACCAUUGAACUGCAUAAAACCAAAACCGUGUCAUUCGAGGAGGUAAUGAAUAAAGUGAGAAGAAACUAUCAGUCAUAUAACUAUCGUGAAACUCGAAGCUGCAUAGUUCAAAGCUUUGGAUUAAUGGAGAUUGAAUUCUCUUAAAAGUGUCAAAACUAUUCAUCUUAGACACAUACAUCACAUAUGUUAGAUUCACCAUUACAUUCAUCUGAUCAAUUCCACUUCUGUCCUCAUUUUGACAUGAAAAGAUAAAAUACUAAUGAUUUCUGGUUUACCUUGUAAUCCUCAUGCUUCUCAAAGAACAUUUUCCACAAGAAUCCACGGAAAGGAGCAAUUCCAGUUCCAGUGGCAAGCUGCAAGAAGAAAAGAUCAAAGUCUAAUAAUUAACAACUAUGCUUAGUCAUAUUGAAGGAGAGCACACAGAAAUGACUAAUAGUGAUAACAUAGGAGCUAGCACGGACCAUUAUAACUGUCGCGUUGGGAUCCUUUGGCAUGAGCAUUUCUUUUCCAACAGGUCCAGUAAUCUUAACUUCAGCUCCAGGUUUCAAGUCACCUGAAUAUUAACAUUCCAAAGUAGGUGCAGGGAUCUAAGCAUAUAUUCUUAUAUUCAUUAAGAAAUGUUCAGGCCAAGUACAUGAGAAAAGAUGAAAUGCACGAGCUAAUAGCUAACAUUAAUGUUUGUAGGUUUAGGGAGUCCUUGAUUCUUACAUAAGAAGUUCGAGCAGACUCCUUUAACUAUUUCCCCUUUGUCAUUUGUGUAGACAAGCCUUUUGACACACAGAGAUACCUGAAUGAAACCUCUAGUUAAUUCAAAUACUAGAAGAAGGAUAAUAGCUAACUAACCAACCUAUGUUAGUGAAUUUCAAAUAGGGCACCCUUCACUAAGAAGAACGUCGAUUCUACAAGAUAAUGUAUGUAUACAAAUAGGUCAACACCACUCUUUACAGGACAAAUUAUAGCAAUAGGCCAACACAUCUUACAGAAAAUAAUGUUUACAUCACUGAAUCAUGUAGUGUUUUGGAUAAAAUUUGAAGGAAUAGGAAGUUUUAUAGCUUACGGUUUUGGAGUCUCCGAAGUCACCAAGGGCACUGCUAGCAAUGGAGUACAAUCUGAGCUUGUGGGGCUUCCCAUUACUGUCAACACCAUCAGGAAUCACUCCGAUAGAUUGGCCUUCUGUGUAUGGGAUCUCUCCUGAUCAACCCCAACACAAAAACCUCAAAUGAUCGUUUUACAAAGAGUUUAACUUCUAUACACUAGCUGUAUAAAAUAAUAUUUAUGCCACCAAGUUACAAUUACAUGAAGUGUCAAAAAUACUCAUACUGUCAUUAUAUAUAAGUUAAGUUCAUUUAACAAAUUCACUAAAAUCAAAUGAACUACUCCCUCCAUUUCAAUUGUUUGUCUUACUUUUCUUUUUAGUUCGUUUAAGAAUGUCUCUUUCCUUAUUUGACAACUCUUUAUUUUCAACUUUCAGAUACCACAAGAUUAAAAGACAGACAUUUUGGUACAUUCUACACAUGUUUAGUUUAAGACCAGAAGAUUCAAAAGUCUUCUACUUUCGUAAACUCUAUGCCAAGUCAAAGCCAGACAAACAAGUUCCAUACCCUCAGUAGAAAAGACCAUGUGCCAAGUUUCUCCAGGGGCAUCAUCUCCAGUGAUCUUAGUGUUGAGAAGGCAUCUGCCAAUAUAAGGAUCCUUUGGCCUGAACUUGUUUACAACUACACCUUCAUCCUGUUUCUUCGAUACCUUCGCAACCUUUGCAGGUACUUCUGUUGUGAGUUGAGCUCUAAUGGGAAACACUUUUCCACCAGCUGAUACAUUUCUGUUGCAUAAAGGAACCUGUUCAAACAAAUAUAACUUGUGUACACUCAGAGUGUAGCUUUUUUUAAUUAUUAUUUUACACUAUGAAGUAUAAGUCAUUAGAAAAGUAAAUAAAAUGUACUAAGUGAAUUGCUUAGUUAUCUUUUACAACAUCUUUAAGUGAAAAUUCUUUUAUACUGCCAGUGGAUAUAAGUUAAUUCUGUGAUGAUCUCCGAGAAAAAAGGAAAAUGAAUCGAAAUUUACCUUGUUGAAGGUAAUAUUUUCAGGGGAGAUGAAGAUGGUUUUGAUGGAAAGACAAGUUGAAUUAGAGGAUGGUAGAGAGAGUGAAGCACUUAAUGCCCCAGCCAUAUUGGUUAUGAUGCUGAGAAAUAGUAGAAGAAAUUGAGAGUGGUGAACAAAAGAAUUUUUUUUUGGGGUGGGGUGGGGGUGGGUUAGGGGGGGAGUGAGGUUGUUAAGAAGAAAAUUAGGAGAAAGGUAAAGAACUAGGAGCUUUCUGGAGAGAAGAUGAGUUGAUUUAGAGUUAAUGUGUGGAGGAGAUUGGAAGAUCAAGAUGUGAGGAUAAGGAAAAAUGCACAAUUUAGGCCUAAGGUCUUUUGACAAAAUUUAAAAUAGUGUAAUUUGAAGUGGAGCAACAACACAAAAGUUAUCUCCACGUGAUCUAUAAAUCACGUGUUUGAGUUAUUCAUGCAGUCAUGAUUGUAUAUCACACUCUUAAGGGUGCGGUCCUUCCCUGGAUCUUACUAAUACAAAAUGUUUUGUGCACCAGACUGUCUUUAGAAAAUAAAUUAGGCAAAAAAAUAAAUACAACUUGAUUUAUAAAUGUUCAGUACAAUUUACAAACUAGAGAUCCUUACAACAAUGUAUUACUUUUUUGUAAUAAAAUUUACAUAUUUAAAAAUUAUGUUUAAAAGUAAUAUGAGUGUAAUAGUUAAUAAUUCAAAACAUUUUUAAAACAGUAGUUGUCAAAGAAAAAUUUCUUUGAUGUCAUAGAUAGAGUCACAUAAUGAGAAUUUUAAUUUGAUAACUAUUAUAUGCACAUGAUUAGUGGCAUACUAAGCAAAUUAUUCCAGUAGGCCAAAAAAAUUUACAUUUUGCUAUUGGAGUAUUAUGAAGUUUGGUACAUCUACAAAUAUUGGUUUGGUUAUUACCUUUCUGAAAUACCGGUAAAAUAUUCCAAUAUGUUUGAGAAGUGUUUCAAGAGAAAUAAGGGAUUUUUACUCAUAAAUGUUCAACUUUAUUUCAAGUGAGAUUUAUGUUCAUAUACAAUUUUAAGUCUUGUUUGAGUAUAAGAUGUUGAUAAAAUGCUCCCUGGCACAUUUAGUAAGCUUCAAGUCUUUACCAAUACAAAAAGGGGUGACUCGGUGCAUUAAGCUCGUACUAUAUAUGUGUGGCGUCUGAGGAAGUGCCAGACCAUUGGGUCUAUUUCUGCAGACAUACAUGGUAUGUUUCCAUGGCUCGAACAUUGUCGAAAGACUACUUACUCUUUCUUGUCAAAAUUGGUGAAAGGACCAUUCUAAUAAAUAAAAAAAAGAGAGGAGAAAAUGCCUUGAGCAGAAUGAAAGAAAAAACUAGAAAGCCAAUGAAAAUGAUUAUUCAUAUACUGCAAGAGUAACAGAUACUGUGCCUUUUCCUACAUAGAAUAUCCCUGAAGUCUUUUUUACACAAGUUUUGAUGCAAUCAAUGGAAUCCCCUGGAUCCUCUGGACUGGUAGAGUUCCAGCCUGCUUUUGGAUUCAUGCAACAAUGUCUCCGUCUUUUCAUCUCGGUUCAAGUGUGCCUGCUUUGAUGCCCAUUUGAGCACUGAAAGCACCUCGGCUUCAGCAAGCUCUUCGCUAUUAGGGACAUGCAAUGCAAUGUCACAUAGCAGAAGCAAUGCAGAAAACUGAACUACUUUUUCACCAAAGCAAACAAGUUGAACCAAAUGUCCUGCACCUCCAGCGCUUAUUAUUGCCUUGCAAUGAUUCAGGUGAAGGUAGUUCUCAUUGCAAGAAAAUUUCUUGAGGGAAAUGGCUGCUUCAUUUGAAAUCUCUGGUUCUCGUUGAUCGAGCAGCGUUACUAAUGGGCUAAUCAUCCUCGUCUCUGUAGCUCGAAAAGUCGUGGCCAAAUUCCCAAUUGAUCGAAUGCAUGGAACAAGCAGGUUCAAAUCUUCUUUCUUAAUGAUUCUCAACAGUUGAUCAACAACAGCUUUGCAAGCAGGUGAAUUAGGCUUGAACACUGACUUUCUCAAAUCAGGAUCUUUCUCCGCUACAGCUGUGAUUUCCAUUACUGCCAUCGCCGAAUGAUACUGAACAUCUUUAUCCCCUUUCUCCAAGAGUACUGCAAAGCAAAGCAGUGCUCUUGAAUCAGUAAUGCUAUGGCAAAUAGUUGAAUUUCCCUUGGCCAGUUUCCAUAAAGCUCUUGCAGCCAUUGCCUUCAUAUAAGCCUUGGUAUUAGGGUCCUCCGAUUCUCGCCCUUUAUUACUGACCCCUGUAGCAUAAUGACUCUGCUGAUGAUAUGUCUGUUUUGCAUCAUUGACCGGAAUCUGCUGAGACGCUUGCAUAGCCGUGGUGGCAGUAACCACAGUGUGCAUCUGAGUAGGCUUCUUAUUUCCUAAAGGAUGUGGAAUGUGGCUAUUAUCAUCAUCCUCAUUCACCUUGUGCACACUACUCACAUUACUAGCUGAAAGAACAGCAUCAAUCGACGUGGAUUUGCUAACAAUAGCAUACUUGCUAUGCUCCUGAACCGUCUCAAACGCGAGAUGGCUAACAAGUAAUCUGAUUAUGUUAUUCUGAUGAAAAACAUCUUGACAUUCGGGGUAAUGUGCAGCAAGUUCAGAAACUGCCCAAGCCACCACUGCUUGAACUUUCAUUAGACCUUCUUUGAGGAUUUUCACAAAAACCAAACACACCCCAGCAUUCACCAUGUGUUCGACACUUUCAGGGUCACAUCCUAGUAAUCCAAUUGCCUUUGCAGCAUUCUCCUGACCCUCCAAUUUCCCUUCCUUCAACAAUUUCAACAAUGGUCCUACUCCACCUUCUUCAAUGAUCAAUUUUCUGUUCCGAUCAUUAUCUCUAGCCAAUGAAACCAAUGAUGCAGCAGCAUCAGAUCGAUCAUUAACCGAACCAGUACACAAAAUGGCUAUAUGCUCCCAAAUAAAACACAAUAUAGGCUCAUUAGUAACAAUAGGAGGAAGUCCUAAGUACCUAUCAGCACCCUCUUCAGCUGAGGCAGAGACGCGGAGUAGCCACGACACAUUACUAAUAGAAUUCUCUAACUGUGAAGACAAGUUACGGAAAUCUGCAGAAGGUAUGAUGGUAAAUACGCGCUUCACUAGUCCCUGAGUGCAGCAUUUGGUAACAAUAGACAUAGCUCUUUCCAAAGUUUGUUCAGUAUCAUCAAUAAUUCGGCUCAUGGGUCGUUGAUAGAGCUCGUUGCUGGCUCGUGCUGCUUGACGAAGCAGCACAAUCAGCUUCUCAGUCUUGGACUUGAGCUCAGCACAUUCUUGACUGAAUAAAACAGCCUCAUCAGCUGCCUGGAUCACCUGAUCAGCUAAUUGAAUUGGAUUUGCCAAGAUUUGCUUAACUAUAUCCGCCAUCAACACUAUACUAGAAUAUUUGUUUUAUUACAAAGGGGAUUCAACAAGCGAAAAAAAUAGGAACUUACUUUUGCCUUAUUUAGAGCAAAUUGAACUCUGUUGCAUUCAUUCAAUAUAUGAUCUGUUCAAGAUGAGGAACUUUUGCUCUUCUUUGGCAGAAUUGCUAGAUCAAAAAUUCAAAAAUGAAGUUUUUAUUUAGCCAACUCAAGAAUCUUGCCGACAAAAACCAAGAAAUGAUGAGAAAUCAAUGACUAAAAAACUUUUGAGAAAGUGAGUAAUUGAUGUAACUUUUGCUUUGUCGUACGUACUACUAUAGUAUAUAUCAAAUGAAAAGGGAAAUGAAG
rnacentral:lncRNA from 1 species